rnacentral:lncRNA from 1 species
AGAGUACAAGGUAAUACUCGAGUAUACCAAACGUUCACUCAGGGUCACCAAAUCGCCCGACCGAGUCCGCUUCUGGCUCGAGUCGACCGGCAACGAAGGGCAAGGACCCAGUUCAGCCAAACGGCUUACAUUCAUGUGCAACUAGCAUUUAAUUAUUUAAUCAUUGAAAAUUUCACAUUCAUUUAGGUCGAGUGCGAUAAAGUACACACUCGCCUAGAAAACUCAUUUUAAGUAAUCAUUGAAGACAUUUAACAUGUUAUCAUUCGUUCAUAACAAGUCAUAUAAUCAAGAACAAGCCACAUAGUCAAUGAAAAUAUAACAAACAAGGAACACUCACCUAUUUACGCAAAAUAAUGUUCAAAAUAUCCUUCCAAAUAACACCCUCAAUCACCAAGGAACCCUAAUAUAAUCAAAAGAACACAUUAUGCUUCAACCAUCAAAGAUGUAAGUGAUUCAAAGAAAAUUCAAAUACGUACUAGUAUAAAGUAUAAAUAUGAUUUUGGUAGUGAAAAGAGGACAUAAGUAAUAAAUAAAAUAUUUGUAAAACUUAUGCUCAUUCAUAAAACUUUAAAAUCUCCAUUUGAGUCGAAGUGACAAAGAAAACGUAUUUCUAUGAGUCGAAAAUUUCAUUUUUCCAAGGGUACCAAUUUCGGCUAAGUUCUAACGUAUAUACCCCAAUAAAAGAUGACGCAAAUACCCUAGAUGGUUCAAGUGGUAUUCGCUCUCAAGCCUUACUCAAGUCGCAAGUAUCUCUACCUAGUUCUUGAGCGUAAAUUUAGGCAGCACGCCCUUUAUAUUUACCUAUUUUCCAGCCAUUUAUGGCUUCAUUGUUUCCCUCAAUCAGUCCCAACAUUACUCACAACAUAACUGCAUUAGAAUAGUCGUUCAAUAGGCUCCAUGUCAUAUGAUUACCAAACCAAGCUAGAAAAAUUGACCGGAAAUGAAGUUUAAGGCCUAAAAUCAAAGGCAGAUUUGAUGUCACUUAACGUAUCGGACACAACCAAAGCUACGCCUAUCGGAUUGGGAUGUAAUUUAUACCGUUUCGAAGCUAAGACAAAGAGCUACAACUUUGAUGAAGACCACCUAAUCCAGUUCGUAGUGUAUCUAGGUCUACAGUACUCUGAUUGGGCUGAAAUUUUGUAGGUAACUAUAAAACAUCAUUCUCUACAAUUUUCAUGUUUUGUGCUAAGCCUAAUUUAGCCUCUAUCAUGGUAAACUAAAACCGGGCAGAACAGGGUAUACCUUAACUUCAAUUCUGGAAAUUUGCUACAAUCAAGGUAUAAAUCUCAUUUUUAGCUUGAAACCAUCACUACCACCUCUUAUACCAACUUAUAUACAUCAUAUACCACCCAUACAACAAGUAUAAUAAGUGAAUCAUUCAAACCCUAACUCAACAUCCCAACAUAUCAUUUAACCCAUGAACUUUUCCCCAUAAAUCCAUCAAAACUACAACUUUAAGCUUCUAGUUUACACAUAUAAGAAGUAGAGGGAAGUUUCUUACCAAAUUCACCUUAAUCCCUAUGUCAAGAAGCUGCCAAGACCUUCCUCUUCCCAAAUCACUCCACCAAAACCCUUAACCUUCCUUGGAGAUCAACUUUUGUGGAGGAAUUUGCAAGAUUAUCGGUUGAAGCUCAAGAUUGAGGCUCGAAAUUGAAGUGCAAAAAUGAAGUUUUCUUUCCCUUUCCCCCUCUCAAGUUUCGGCCAGCAAUAUGCAGAAAUGAAGAAGAAACAAUGCUCUAGAAAAGAUAAGAAGCUUGGAGUUAAUUUGGUCAAAGGUUUGACAAGUGUCACAAUUUAAUUGGAAGUCAAAUUUUUCUUUUCUCUCUUGUUUUUGUGGUCCACAUUUUCGGCUGAAAGGAGAAGAUAUUUAGGGCUAAUUUGUUCAAUUAAUAACAAGGGGAUUAAGGUAAUAAAGUGGUGUUCAAGUGGUGCACUCAUUCGGUAACAAACGGUACCCGUCGGUUCAACCCGUUUUUCCUUAUUUCACGCGUACUAGGGUUUUCACUUAUAAUUCACUAACUUAUUAUUAUUACCUCUAAUCACACACUUAAUAUCAUCUAAAACUCACUCUUAAUCACCAAAUUUGAUCCACACUCCGUACCAAUUAGUCACACGACGAAAAGGCGUAAAAACCCUAACUCGCGCUAACUUGAAAACGGAAAGGAAAAACCCUUAAUUCUAUGUUCAUUUACAUUUAUUGUGGGGUGAUUGGGUAGUAGGGCUAUUAUAAAAUAAUAAUUUUCAAAUAAUUGCCAAAUAAAAGGGAAUUUUGAAGAAAAUUAUAAGGAAUUUGCAAGUCCUCACAUAAUACACUCUUAACACUUUAAUCACAUAAUCUUUCUUGCGUAACACCUGCUCUUUGUGACGCCCCCACUUCUCCCUAAGGCGAACCAAAGGGUAUCCGCGGGACGCCUGCCUAGCUCUCGCCAGGACUCAAGCAAUUCCAUUCAACUUAUAGCCGGACCACACAACACAAGCCAAUAACUUAAAUACAAUAAAUGCGGAAGUAUUCAAACUUAAUAAUAACCAUCCAUUCUCCAAACCACACGUCAGAAUACAGAUUACAUUUCGUCCAAAGGUUACAUUUCCAUACCCAAAAGUACAGUCCAAAACCAAAGGCAUAUCCAAGAGUAAUAGCAAACCCUAAAACAAAAGUACAACAGGAGGGUUUCUCCAUUUCACCUCCGAGUUCAAACCUGUUAAGGAAAACAAAUCUACAGGGUGAGCAAAACGCUCGUGAGGCCAAGAACACACAUGCAGACACAUAGUUCAGAUAACAAGUCCAAAUAACAAUUCAGGUAAUAGCUUGCAAGUAAUUAAUAACGCCAACAAAGCGUAACCAGAAACAAUUCAAGGAUAUAGAAGCUCUCAGGAGCUAAAUUCCACAUUUGCCGAUGUCAUUUGUAUAUCUCCCCGUGAUGACUCUCCGUCAACCGGGUUGAUAUUUUCAUAUCCGUAGUUCACCACUUACUUCUCAUCCGUCCACCAUACACCACUUCGGGCCCGCACGACAUUUAUAAGGCGAUACUUUACGAGUAUGCCAAGCGAGAUCUCUCAAUAGAUCAAGCUUAUCAUGUGAAUCUCAUGGUUCACCGAGGUUCCCGACCAAGCCCAUGCCGGCUCGAGUUCCAAGGUCGGCCUAUGAGUUUGGGCGUCCCCCAUGUAUCAUGUAAAUGUCGAGGAGAUUCACUCCAUCGACGUAUGCAAUCAUAGCAUACCAUUUCAUGCAUUCAAGCAUUUGACAUGUUUAAGCAGGCAUUUCAAGUCAUGUAAACCAGGCAAAUCAUGUUAGACAUGAGUCAUUCGUGCCAAAUGAGAACGAGUGCGAUUAAGUACACACUCGACUCCAUUUUUUUCAAAAUCAAAUAGACUAAGCAUGUAAUCAGGUAAGUCAAGCAUGAAUCAAGACUUUAGAGUUCAAGUAGGCAUACACUUGACACUCACCAGUUAUGCAAGCAAGUAGGUUGGAGGGAGAGUUCAAACUUCCACGGUAGGGUCCUCUUGGAGGUCCUCGUGCGUGCCUGAACAUCGAAUAGUAGAUAAUUACUAUAGGUCCCCAAGUGGUGAGAAAGAUUGGACACGGGUAAGGUUCGGAAAUAUUUGAAAACUUCGUUUGACUUGUCUUUGAAGUUGGAUUCUCAAAAGGGUGCAGGACUCGAGUAAAAAAAAUCGGAUUAUUAUCCUUAAAAUCAUUGGUUGGAAACGAGUACGAGCAAAACGAUUGCAAAACGGACGAUCGAAAUCGAAAGAGGGCUGGCCACGCCACAAUCCGGCCGGAACCUGGCCGGAUUGGAGGCAGUGGCUAACCUCCUUUUUUUUCAAACUUCGCCACCAAUCCGGCCGACAAUCCGGCCAGAAACUGGCCGGAUUCAAGGCCGGAUUCUGGUAAAAUUGUUCCUUCGCGGAUUUCCUUUGGAAUUCCAGAAUUUUCGAUUUUUGGUCAAAUCUUUGAAAAAUCAUAACUUUCUUUCUACUAAUCGAAACUUGAUGAAUUUGGUACCGUUGGAAUCGUCUUCCAAAGUACUAAAAGUCCUUAGAAGACACCAUUCCAUGAAUCUAAGUGGAAGGUAUUCAAAAAUGAGCCUAAAGUUGCUGUUCUAGAUUACCAGGAUUGAGCCGGGGUUGGUUUUUCGCUAACUUUGGAAAUUCGGUAAAAAUCACUCGUUGCAAACCGGCCCUUGAAACUUAUAACUCGAUUAGAAGUGCAAGUAAAGUUUUGAACAGAACAAGCGGCUCAAGAAUCGGAGUUUCGAGUACCGAGAUACGGUAGCUCAAAGUUGGGAAAAAUUCAAGACUGUUACAAAAUUUCCAGAUUUGGUUCCGACUUUGGACCUUUUAUUAAGUGCCGAAACGGACUUGGAUUGACACCAAAUUUUGCAGUAUAAUACUCCCAUAUGAAGGGUAUCUGUCUAUCAAAUUUCAUGGAAAAAUACCCUCGGAAAGGUGGUUAAUCAAUCAACCAAAGUUUGGAAAAAUCCUCAAGGCAAUCUGUCCAAAUCUAAGGUUUCAAAAACGAGGCAGUCGCCGUAUUUUGAUCAUAACUCCCUCAAUUUAACUCGGAAUUGGGAAUGGUUGAUAGUGUUAGAAAAUACAUUCACAGGGCUAAAAUUUCACAGAAGAAAUCGUUUCAAUUUUCAGCAUGCAACUGGCUCGAAUUUAAGCCUAAAGUUGCAGCAUCAUCAAAUCAUUUCGGCAGAACGGAGAAACAGGACAGCUGACUUCAGAUGAAUGGUGUGGCUCACACACAUAAAACCAGAAUGUGCAUUAUACACCGUUGGAAACAUGAGAACGUCUAGUUUCAAAUGCCGCUAACGGCACUUGAUUUCGACGUCGGAAUACGGAGUUAUGGACGAAACACGAACACUGGUCUGGUUACGACGGCAACCAUUUCCCAGAUUACUAGCUUUGGAAAAUAAAUUCUUUUGAUCAACCAAAACUCAAUAUUUUUUCAACGAAAUUUUGUACACAACUUCUACAACAUGUAAACAACAUAAUCAAGCCAUUAAAUCCUCAAAUUUCUACAUUAAAGUGACCGAACAGAGCAGGGGUAAAAUGGUCCAACUUGGCCUUUGCACUCAACGUGAGUUUCCAGCAGUUUUUCUUCAGCAAAUCACUAACUUAAACACUAAUCCGACAUCAUAAACUUCAGCAAGCACAGAAUCAGCAACAACCCAAGAGUGGGAAUUCAUAGAGCCCACUUUUUCCCAACAAUACAAGCUACUAAAGUGACGAUUCUAGCUCAAAUGCAUAAAUCAAACUCCAAAAGACAAGUUUAAGGUGAUUGAUUACUACCUACUUUGAUGGCUGGUUAGGACAGAAGUUUCGGCCCCUUUGAAGCUUGAAGAACCGUGAAAGGUCCUCCCUUUUCCAGCUAAAUGUGUUGUCCAAGACUUAGGCUAAGUGGUGCUAAAUUUUUAGAAGAUUUGGUGGUGAUUUGCAUGAGCUUUGGAAGAAGAAAUGUUGAAGGUUUCGGUUGUCCCUUUUGCUGCUGCUAUCCGGCCAUGAAGCUUGAGGAAAUGAAAUGUGACUGCUGGUUCCUUUGCGUACAUAAGACGCUUGACGUCUAAUAUAUUAAAUACGUCAAAUCAAUUACAACUAGUGCCCUACGCGCGCGUUUUGUGUUCGAUUUCUCUUACGUUUGUUGCACUAGUGCACUAAACCUCUUGGGCACUUACAUUCAUAUAAAUAUUAUUCAUUCUUAAUUGUCCCAAAAUAAUGGUCCAAAGUCCCUCAAUUAAGCGCGCACGUGCAAACACGUAUUUCUAAUUUAGGCGCAAUAAAAAUUGAAACCUUUGAGAAAUUCUUAUAACGAUUGUACCACUAGCUAUCACUUGUGUGAUUAACCUAAAAUCGUCUAUUUUAGGACCAUUGUAUAGGUCUCAAAUUUUUGAGCUUAUUGUACUCCCAAUUGGCUAAAGUGUUUAGACACGUUUUUCACUUUUUCGCUAAAUAAGCUUGUAAGAAAAUAUUUGUUUAUUUAUCUAUAUUUUUAUUUUAUUUAUUUUUAAAAUGAGACACUUAAGAAAUAUAACGAAACUAUAAAACCAUGUACUUAGGUCUGAAAAGGCUAGAAAAUAUUAUUCGUAGCAAAAAUCCAAAUAAAUAAUUAAUUGAGCCAAAAUUAGGGAUUUUAAAAUAAUAAAAAUUUUAGAGUCCUCACACUCUUGUCUACCAAAUUUAUUGCAGACACCUCACUAGUUGGUCACACUACCAUACUGCACUACGAAACUUAACAUGCACCAAAUUAUGGAAGAAAAAGAUAAAACUCUUGACUUGAUCGUUAAAGUAUCUAAGAAAUUAAGGCAAGUGAAUUAAACCAAAAGAAAAUAUAAAUUAACUUAUUCAAAAAUAAGAAAAAUUAUAAGAAAUAUAUAAAAUAAUUUUUGAGUCCUUACAUAACCUCCUCAAACUCUUGGCUAAUCGUUCCUAAUAUAUAUUGACAAACUCCUAAAAACAAUUCGUAGCUAAUAAGCCAAUUCAUAUCUAUGACCUUUUAGUGUUCAAAACUUCAUUCUCAUACAAUAAAUAGUGUUCUUGUUUACUAUGUUGUCCAUACAAUAUAGGGUAAAUUACAUAUAAUCCCCUUUGUAUUUUGUAUAUUGUCACAUGAUUCCCUUAAGAUUUCAAAACAUCCACAUAACUCUCUUAUGAUUUUAUAUAAAGCAGAAAAUUGAUAGAAAGCAUCACUUGUUACUGUGAUUGAAAUGGAUGUUCUCUAAGCAUGUGUGUGAUGGAAUCAUAAUGUAUAUAAACCACUCUUAUAAUUUGUAUGAAUAUCUAUUUUACCCUCCUGUAACUUUAUAUUUAUCCACAUAAUUCCUCUAUGAUUUUAUGUAAUGUAGCUUUGGUCAUUGUUUGACGUAGUAUCUUAGUAUUUCAACUAAUGACCUUACAAAGACUAUUUUCUAUUAAAUUUUCACAUUACGUGAAACUACGAGGGUUAUGUGCAAUUUAUCGUUCAAUAUAUGGGCACAAAUAUAUAGUUUUUCCCUAAUCAAAUUACAAAUAAAUUGUACAGUGUUAUAAUCCAAUUUAGUUAAACAUACAACUAAUAAUUAAAAAAAGAAAAGAUAAUCAUACAUAGCUAAAAGCGGCUAAAGCCAAAUAAAUAUUACAAAUUUUAUGUAGCAUGGAAUAUGAAUUUGUAUGAUAUGCUUUCCUACCAUGUACACAACCAAAAUUAUAUUAUCCUUAUUUCACCUUAAUUAUCCAAUUGAAGCACAAACAAUUUUGUUUUCACAAAUUAUAGAUAUCACAAAUAAUGGUUUAACAUCCAUUCCACUCUAACUUUGAUGAUAAACAUGCACGAAUUUUUUCUUUACCAUUGCAAAUGCGUAGUAUACUAGCAACAGCAAGAGUACAUUUUCAACACAUUAUCAACUACAGUUUCUAUGUGGAAAUAAACCUUUGUAACUGUCGUAUGUCAUGCAGUGGGUCUAUACUUCAAUUUUGCAAUUCUAAAUUCAAUCUUAUGGCUUUUAUAAGCUUACUAAUUCCUUUUAUUUUUUCUCUUUUUAUCAGGUGUUAUUUGAUUGACGAUUGUCUGUAUAUAAUGUGGCUCAUAUAAAGGUCCAUCAAGCUAAAAUUUUUGUGCUUUAGUCAUUUGUGAAAAAUAGCAAUGAACCUCUAUCAAUAUGAAACGAAAAAAGGAAAGAAAGAAGUAGAGGAGGAAGACCAUGGAUAUAAUGAGUUAUGCAUUAUUCAAAUUUCAAAAUAAAGAAGUCAGGUGUAAAUUAAUCAUUGGAGUCUUAAAAGAUUAGUUUUACAUAAUUUAUUGUUCAAUAAAGAGAAUUUCAUGUAUGGCAUUUCUUUUGAUCUAUCGUCUAGUCAGAAUAAAGUAACUGAUCGUUAAUCUGAAGAUGGUACAUGUAAGUCCACUUCAUUUCCCAUGUUUUGGAUAAAACAAGUUGUGUACAGCAUCCUUUGUUGGAAGAUGAAUUAUGAUUCUUCAAAAGAUGUGGCUGCCAAACUUUUGGAAAACAAAAGGUAGCAGCAAUUCCCAUCAUUCACUCUUCUUUGUAGGACAGUUCAUUUCCUUAACUUUUUAGCAUCUCUAUUUGGAAUGCUAAAAUGUAUUUGCUAGCAUUUUGGACAAUCAUCUAGCUCCUUGCCCAUUCUUCAGCAGCCAAUUUCUUCAUUUCCUUUGUGUACUUGGGUACCUAAAAUUGGUGAUUCAAAUUGAAAUGCAUUGGCAAUGUUGAAUCCAACUGCAUCACUUAAUGCUGCCUUGUCUCUACUAGUUCAAGUGAUGUAACUACUUUGACAAUUGACACAGCAUAUGCACAGAUUCAGCUUGAUGAUUAGAAAAUUCGACAAGCAUUAUAACUGGGCCAAGAUGGAAAUGCUUUUUAUGGUUUAUGCAAUAGGCAGAGAUGCCAAAUAUGGUUGCCAUCUAAUCCAUUGCAGGCGUGUAGAUGGCAUUAUUCCAUUGAGUGACGUGUUCAAGUUUUUCCUUGGUUGGCCAAUUAGACAAAAUAAUCUAUGGUGUAUUUUAGAUUAAACAACUGGUUUUGAAAUAAUUUUUUUUGGAUAGUUUUUGGGAGUUUGAACUGCCAGUAUUUGCAGACAAUAUUAGAAGUGAUAAAAUUAAAAGGAGGGAGAUGAGAGUACUCAUUGUCUAUAGAUAUAUGCCUUAGAUUCCAGUUUUGCCUUUGGAUGCUAUUCUAUCAUCAAGCUAUCUGCUCAAAUUGAAUGUGGUAAACUCCUUUGUCUGCUCCAACCAAGCAGCACUUUAAUUAGUUUUACUGAUAGUCCGCUUAGAUCUAUUUUGACUUUGGCGCUAUUCCUUGAUCAUACUGUCUGGUCCAACUAAACCUAGAUGACUUCAUUGACUAAACAUUGUUCAUGCCCCUGAGAGAAACUACAUAUCAUGAGACAAGAUGCACAGUAAGAGACACUUCAAUUAAAACUAUUCUGGGUUUCCAAUUGGUUGUUCUUAGGCACCGAGCAAUUCUGUUUUCGUUUGGCAAAAUUAAUUCGAGUAUUAAUAAUUGAGUAGUUGGUAAUUUAACUAUCAUAUAUUAAUGUUUACUCAUUUACCUUGUUUUUGGCAAAAAUCUUGACCACAACUAGUGCUAUAGUUAAUUUAUAUCCACUAUUAGUCACAAAUGUAGAUAAGAUGGCAACCUAGAGAAAAAUUGAUAAAUUUAGUUGUGUGGCCUUCUUUACUUUCUUUUAAAUAUUCAUAUGCGACUAAGGUGCUGUUGUUGAUUAUGCUUAAGUAUGUACAUUCCAUGACAUCAAACUUGACAUCAUAUGAUUAAUUAGUCUUCUAAGUCUUUUGUUUUUAAUUCUAAAAUCUCACUUGGUAACUAUCUUAUUUGUCUUUUUAAAUUAUUUAUUUAUUCCCCCUAAAGCAAAAUGGGAUUUCAAUUGCACUUAAGGAAAGCACCAAAAGAUAAUUAUUCAAAUUCAAUCCUUUUCCACCUCGAGUUUAAAGUUCCUUGGAUAUGUUGUUAGAGUUACAAAAUUAAUCAACAACUUCCAAACCCUUAUCCUCAUCAAAUAUUACAUAUAGAGUAUAUUAAGGAAAGUAUGUAGAGUAUAUUAAAAAUAAUAUUCCUCUUCUAAAAAUAAUAUAUAUCUCUUCUAAAAAGUAAUAAAAUAACAUACCUCUUCUAAAAAUAAUAAUAUUCUCUAUUUUUCAAAAGUGGUUUCUAUGUGGAAAUAAAUCUUUGCAUUGAUUUGUAUGUCAUGUAGUGGGUAUAUUUCAAUUUGACAAUUCUACAUUCGAUCUUAUGGCUUUUAUUAGUUUACUACUUCCUUUUAUCUUUUCUCAUUUUAUCAGGUGUUAUUUGAUUGACGAUUGUCUGUAUAUAGUAUGGCUCAGAUAAAAGUCAACCAAGUUGCAAUUUUCGUGCUUCAGUCAUGCGCAUUUGUGAAAAACAACAAUGAACCUCUAUCAAUAUGAAAAGAAAAAAAGAAAAGAAGAAGUAGAGGAGGAAGACUAUGGAUACAACGAGUUAUGCAUGAUUCAAAUUUCAAAAUAAAGAAGUCAAGCAUAAAUUAAUCAUUGAAGUCUUAAAAGAUUAGUUUUACAUAAUUUAUUGCCCAAUGAAGAAAUUUCAUGUAUGGCAUUUCUUUUGAUCUAUCAUCUAGUUAGAAUAAAGUAACUGAUCGUUAAUAUGAAGAUGGUACAUGUAAGUCCACUUCAUUUCCCAUGUCUUGGAUAAAACACAGUUAUGCACAGCAUCCUUUGUUGGAAGAUGAAUUAUGAUUCUUCAAAAGGUGUGGCUGUCAAACUUUUUGAAAACAAAAGGUAGCAACAAUUCCCAUCAUUCACUCUUCUUCACAGGAUGGUUCAUUUCCUCAAUUUCUGCUUUUGGCUUCUCUAACUGGAAUACUAAAAUGUAUUUGCCAGCAUCUUGGACAAUCAUCUAGUUCCUUGCCCAUUCUUCAACAAUCAAUUUCUUCAUUUCCUUUGUGUAUUUGGGUACCUAAAAUUGGUGAUUCAAACUGAAAUGCAUUGGCAAUGUUGAGUCUAACUGCAUCACUUAAUGUUGCCUUGUCUUUGCUAGUUCAAGUGAUGUAACUACUUUGGCAAAAGACACAGCAUAUGCACAGAUUUAGCUUGAUGAUCAGAAUUCGACAAGCAUUAUGACUAGGCCAAGAUGCAAAUGUUCCCUAUGGUUUAUGCAAAAGGCAAAGAUGCUAGAUAUGGUUGCCAUCUGAUCCAUUGCAGGUGUGCAGAAGGCAUUAGUCCAUUGAGUUUCUUGGUUAGCCAAUUAGACAAAUAUAUGGAAUGGGUACUUUGUGAUGGCUCUUGCAAACUAGUUGUAACUUUAGUUAGGGAUUAAUAUUUCCAACAUUGUCAAUAUAGUGUUUAGAGUUUGGAUGCAUGCUAAGUCAUUAAUAUUUAAAUUUUAACAACAACUUUCGCAUAUAUGGCGUGCAUCCAGAUCCACUAAUGUAUAUGCUGUCAGUGCAAAAAAGUUUUGUCCAUUAGUUAGAGCAAGUAUAGCAGCUUUGCUAUGCUUGGAAGUUGCUUGAAACAUCUGUAGUGGUUGUAUAUAUUUUAGCUUCCACUUUUGUGCAAUCAAACUUUGAGCUCCAUCUUUUCUAGGAUACAAGGCUAGUAGAAAGGAAAAAGAAAGAGGAAAUUUCUGUAAAUUUAGAGGAUUUCCAUUUUUCUUUAUAUCUCUAUGAUUUAUUUUUUCAAAAAAAAAAAUUAUAAUAACUAUGUAAUGUGACUAGGUUUAAUUUUUAAUCAAAAGCCCACUAAAUUAAUCAACAAAGAGUAUCCUAGUGAGAGUUUUCUCUCUUCUAGAGUUUACUAGUAAGAGUUUUCUUCUCUUCCAAGCUAUCUUAAUGGGAAUUUUGUUUAGUUUUUUGUUAUUUUUUCUUAAACCUAAGAGUUUUUUUAGAUCUAUAUGUUAUAUUUGGAAUUUUUUGGAUCUUCUCAUCAGAUAUCGGUGUCAGUUUUAAACUUGAAUCAGUUGGAUAACAUAUCUGAGGCAAUUGGCAUACAUAGAUAUUUGUGCAGGAACUUGUGCAAUUGGUCAGAUCUAAUAGUUUGUGAGUCACAAUGUAAUUUUUUAUAUUUUGUAACUCUAUUAAAUCUAAUAAUUUUUCAGAUCAGAUAUAUUUAUGACAUGUUCUAUAUAUUUUUUGCCAUUAAUGCAUCUAUGUUUGUCAAACGUACUGAACUAUUUUUAGUUAGUUUAUUAAUAGUAUUGCCUUCUGUUUUAUCAAAAAAAAAACUAAUCAAUAAAGAUCUCAAACUACUCCACUUAAUGCAAAUUGAUUUUGAGAUGCAACUCAAGUUCUUUAAUGCUCAUCAGUCCACAAGUCAAGCAACUAUGCAAUUCUAUAAGUUUGCUCAAAGAAGGAAGCUUUAUUGCUUUCUUAAAAUAUGAGAAGACAAUAUUAGAAGAGAAAAGGUUACCUAAAACAAGGAAACAAAAAAAAAAAGAAAGAAACAUAAAACAAGAAAAGAGAAGAAAGAAAAAAAAAAGGUAGCCUUACUCCGAUGAAUAUAAAGAAAUCAAGGGAAAUUCAAUUGCUUUAUUAUAAUUGGUCAGAGGGAUUUACUUGGUUAGAAAUGGCCUAAGAGAGAUUUACAUGGCUAGAGUGUGGUGAAUUGAAGUUAAAUGUUGUGUGCCUAUCGUGCCAUGGUCUUAACAUACAUCAACUGAUUUUUUUCCUUCUAAUUUUUAAUUGGAAAAUCUUUAUUUUCUAGAACCAUCUAAAAUCACUUUCAAGACUAUGCUUUAGCUGUAGGAGGCAAAGGGAAUUUAGGUCUCAAUUAACUUUACUAUCAUUAAAAAAGGUAAAGUUUACUCUCAACUUUUACCCUAAUCAACAAUUCUUAAGAAAUAAACAACUUGAUGUAUCGUACAAGAUUUUAAUAUGGUUCUAAGAAAUACACUUCGAAUAAAUGUCUUCAUAUGAGCUUGACAUUAAUUUCGUGACAGUCAUUUUUUUUUAUCUACUAUCAUGGCAUCUUAGUGAUGUGAAAUGUGAAUUGCAGAAUUUUAAGCAAGACGGUUACUUUGUUGAAUGGCAUUGUAGUAGUAGUAGUAGUAGUAGUAGUAGUUGGUAAAGGGUACAGGGUAGAUGUCGAGUUGAAGUUUUGGAAUGAAAGAGAUGAAUAAUCAUUAUUUUCUAUUGUGGUAUCUUAAUAUGUUGGCAUGGAAAUGAACAUGGGAGAUAAGUUUGUUGUUUUGAUAAAGGUGGUAAUGGUAUAUAUAUGAAUCACAAGUAUGCGUCAUUUAGUUUUGAUUAGUCUUGCUAUUUCUUGAAGGGACAAAAUAUAGUUUGCUUUUCAUGUGUCAAAGCCAUAUUAUGGCAUGCAUAGAUGACAUGUAAUUGCAAUACGUGUCUGUGAAUUGGUAUGUUUGCUUCUUUAUUAUGCUCUUAUAUUAGGAUAUACUUGGAGAAAGAGGAUAGAGAAUUUAUAUUAUUUCAUAUUUUCUUUUAUGUGUAUUGAGUGAAAUUUUGGGGUAUUUGUUGUGAUUUCAUACUUUUUUAGUUGUUGUUGUUUUUCUUUGGCUUAAUUAAUUUGUCUUAACUUGUUUUCAUAUUAAAAAAUGUGGAUGGAGCUAAAUUAUAUACUGAUGAGUUAAAUAAUUUGGGUAUCUAGAUUUCUAGAUAUGUGGAUGAAGUAUAUCAAUUAAUUGUCUUUAAUGGUGGAUUUGUAAGGACAUAUAAUAUUUGGAUUAAUCAUAUAGAAGUUAUAUUUUUUUGGUCUAGUUUUUUUCUUUUUAUGGUUGGAUGAUACCGUUUAGACUAUCAUUUACUUGAAUGAUGCUACUGAAUUAGAUCAUUUUAUUGAGUUGUAUAGAACUUAUCACGUUCAAAAUGCAAUCAUUCUACCGGUGGUGCAUUAUAGGUUUCAACUUGGUUCACUUGCAUAUGUGAAGACCCAUAGUUUAGAUGAACUCUUCUUUUGAUAAUUAACAAAUAAUGAUAAGAAGUACUAAUGAUUCAAGUCAAGUGAUUUAUUUAUUAAAAUAAACUCAAAUGUGGAGUUCAUGAAAUAUGCCUACCAAAGUACCAAAAUGAUUGGAAAAGACGUAAACUUUAAAAUGAAGUUGAAAUGAUAUGCAAACAAGGAUAGGAUAAAACUUUGGAUACAUGUUUGAUAGCUCCAAGUAUCAAACAUGAAAAAGCGGUAUUAAAUGAUGAAGGAAUGAUGCUUGUAUCAAACAUGAUGUGCAAAACCUUUACUCAAGUGGUCUACCAGAGGAUGAAACCAAAAGAAAGUAAAGAAAGCCCCUGCAUGGUAAGGAGAAUAAGUGAUGAAAUAAGAGUAUCAAGAUCAAUGAGAUUUGAAGAAAAUAUGAAAAAGAGAUAUAAGUUAAGAAAGACUUGAUAAAGAAGGUUUAAAUCUUGAUCUAAACUUUAAUUAUAUCAAUGAAAAUUCAUGAAAGAAAGUGAGUUUGAGACAAUUUGAAGAAAAAAAGAAAAAUUAGAAAAAAAUUGAAAAAAUGUACUGGAGAAUGAAUAGUAAUAUUAUGGCAGUGACAGGACGUCCGAUGUGAUGACCCAGAAAAUUAUUUUCUCACCUCCCAACUAUUUGUAUUUUUAUUUAAAUUAUAUUUUUAUAAAGUUUGCAUUCAUUUAACGAUUUACUUGUUAAUUGUUAAACGAGUUUCUCUUACUUGUACAUUUUAACUUUCGAGCGUUUAAUUUCUUGAAAAUUGUUGAUUUUGCGACUUAUUAGUGAAUUUGGCCAAAACCCUAGAAAAAAUAUAAGUUGAGAUAUUAGUGAAGUUAAGAAAGAUUUUGGGAGUUAAAAGAAGAUUAGAAAAGCUAAGGAUUGAUAGUAAAAAAGCUUAAGUGGAAGACACUAUUGAUCACUAUUCAAAGUUGACUUAGAGAAACCUUCUUGUGGCUUGUAUAUUAAUUCCAAAAGCAACCCAAAGCCUUCAUUUCUUCUCCUUGGCUGGCCUAAAAUAGAGAGAGGAAGAGAGAGUGAUAGAUUUCAGAUUUUCUUGAGAUUCUUGAAAAUCCAAACUACCCUUUCAUCAAUCUACUUAAACCUUAGAAGAUAUUGAGAGAAGAAGACUCCUAGGAGUGGAUCUUGCUAUCUUCUUGGUUUAAUCUUGCAAGGGUUUGAAACUUUGAAGAGGUAAGUGGCUAAUCUACUUCAUUCUUUAACCUUUCAAGCAAUUUUGGAUUUAUGGUAUUUAUGGAAAACCUAUGGUGGAUUUGAAAGUUUUAUGGAAGUUUAGUAUUAGAUGCUUUAAUGAUCUUGGUUUAUUUAAAUCCUGGUAUGUUUGGCUAGAAAUUGGUGGAGUCUUGUCUCUUGAGAUCCUAGGGUUAAUUAUUGAUGAAACCCUUAAGGAUUUCAGUUCUAUUUCUAGUGAUUUGUUGGUGAAAAUGGAAGAAAUCUCUAUGUCCACCAAGUGUUUGAUCUUUUGUUAAGAGUUGCUUAUGUGCAAAUUUUCAUGAUUUUUCUUGCUAACAAUCUUGGCUAUAUAUUGUUUGAUAUGUUCAUGGAUUUGUUAUGGAAAAAUUGGGAAGAUUUGAUGGAGAAAUGUUUGGAAAAUUCUUGUGGGAAAAUUCUGCCUUUGCUGUCCAAAACAGGGGAAGAUAUUCCAGUCUUGAUUUCUAUUUUUCUUAUUAAUUUUGGGCAAGUUUAACACAUCAUUCUUUACUUGUAUGUUGAAUUUGAACCAAAACUAUGAAUUUCUUCCUUGUUUUGUUGUUGGAAAGUUUGUAAAAUGGACUGAAACUCAGAGAGCAUUUUCAGUCAACUUGUUAGAUUUUCUCGUAUUAAUUGAAAACAAAUUAGAGUCUAAAUUUUAUACUAUUGUAAAGCCCUUUGAGUCUAGUUUCAAACGCAACCAACGGCAUUCGAUUUCGAUUUUUCUACAUUGAGUUAUAGCUAUUUUCCCGAGACUGCUCAAAUGCCGUGAUAUAAUGCGACAGCUUUCUUGUGCCUCUGUGAUUGCUAUUUUUUACCACAAAAAUGCAUGAACUGAAUUUCGAUAUCUUCAUAAGAGAGUAGAUCUAUGUCUUAGCUUUAAAAAGCCAUAAAAUUCAUCUCAAUCUGAUAAGUGUACCUCCAGUUAUGAUUAAAAUACCGAGAGGUGUCAAAGCUGUCACUUUGAUUCUUCUCCUUUGCACUCUUUCCUUCAUUUUUCUUGGUUCAAUUUAACAUUUUUCACUCCAUAUCAUACCUGAACUAUUGACCUAACAUGUACAUGGAUUUUUCCUUUGAAUUGAGCUUGAAAACAUGUGUUUUGGAAGACUUUUAAGGACGUAAAAAUAUGGAAAUCUUGAGGAACAUCUUGGGACUUCUAAGUUGGGACUUGGGAGUAGUUUUGAUUAAAUGGUGGUUUGGAGUAGUGAAUCUCAUUGUACUCUAAUUACUUGGUUCUAGGACUUGGAAGUGAACACAAGAUUGGCACCCGAGGCGGACAUUUGAGCUUUGCUUUACAUGGUGAGUGUCAAGUGCAUGUUUCUUGAUAUCUUAAUUUGAAUGAUACCACGUGUUAUGUGUUGAAUUCUAAACUAGAUGAGACGAGGGUGUACUUUAUCCCACUCGUCCUCCCCUUCUUGAAUGAUCUUGUACUCGCUUGAACUUGAUUGAGCUGUACUUGUGUUUGUGCUUGUGCUUGACUUGUAAGUGAUGAGCGGCAGCAUGUACCACCCUCAAUCCGAGUGGGAGGUGCCUCUUAUCCCGUCUCAAUACCUCUAUCUUGAUUAAGUCGAUUGGAGCGUUAUCUCAUCGACCAUACUUGUUCUUACUUGGGUAUAUUCGAGUAUUAUCACCACUAUUUCUAUUUAGCGUUCGAACCCGGUAGGGGGUGAAUCGGUGGAUGGGGAUUCGUGUCAAGUGAAUUCUACGGACUUGUCAUUUGCGUGGUUGACGGAGUGUCAACAAAAGAAAAUGAUAUCCAAGAUUGCGAAAUGGUAAACUUGUGGCUUAACUUCUGAGAGUUCCUGUAUCCUUUUAAUGAACGUGUUUUAGUCUUUUAUUAGCUUUACGUGGAACUAUUAUUGUUAUUCGGUGCAUGUGCCACUUGAGUUGAAUUAUGGUACUUGUUUUACUUGCUUGCUUGUUUUCUUGGCCUCACUGAGCGUUAACUCAUUUCUUUUAGUUUGUUUUCCUUAGCAAGCGUUGGCAACAUGGAAGUAGGGAAAUAGACAGUUCGAGAGUUGGCGUCUAGAUUUAAGUAAUUUGUCAUUUUAGUUGUACUUGAUGAUUUGAUUAGACGACUUAGAUUUUAUCCGUUUGAUUAUACGUAUAAGUAGGGAUAACUCGGAAUAUUGGAUGGUCUAUAAUGUUUAACCAUGAAGUUUUAAUACUUACUUUGAGGUUAAUACUAUUGGAGUUUUGGAAUUGUUAUUAUUCUCUGAGAUUCGUAAGUGAGUCCUGACGAGAGUUGGGCAGACGCCCCGCUAAACCCUCUGGUUCGCCUUAGGGGAAGGUGGGGCUGUCACAUCUGAGCCAAAGGAUACUGCAUCUGAGCCAUUGUCCGAAUCCCAUUACAGCUAGUUUUAACAUCUUUAUUUUUUUAUUGUUGUAGCUUUUUUUUUCAUUGCUUUCAUCUAUAAAGGAUCCAAGGACGCCCAUAUAAAGUAGUUUUUUGACUUGUAAUUGUUCUAGUUCAUAUAAAAAUUAGUUUGGUUAAGAAAUCUUUAUAAUCUUAAGAUUGUGAACUCAAAUUGUUAGUAUACUUCAAGUGUCAGUUUGGAGAGAUACUGAUUUUCACAAAUGGAAGUUGUUGGUAUAAAACUCUUGACUCAACUAAAGUAGAGAGGUUUAGUAUGAGUAAGAGUAAGUCUCAUUUGUGUACAAGAAAGUUAUUGUCUCACCUACAAUGAAGAGUCACUUAGUGGAGGAAAAUUUAAGUUUUGAGAAACUUGGAAAUGGAAGUUUACUUCAAAGAGGAAGUCAAACCAUUAUUAAUUGGUUUGCAUACCUUUAAUUUCCUUUACUUUUUUAAUCUUAUUUGUUGUGAACUUAAUUGCAUUUUUUUUAUCUACUUGAAUCUCUUUUUUUUUUUUUGAGUUUGUCAUUUUCAGUAUUUUGAAUUAUCUUGGUUGAUUUUAAUUUGCUAUUUUUUUAUCAACUUAAUUCAUCCCCUCUUAAGUUAUUAUGGACUAAUAAUGUGAAAUUAUAUUUACGAGGAAUACCUUUAUUCGGUUUUUCGCCCAUUUGAUGAAUUGCCUGCAAAUACUCGUUAUCAUUUUGGGCCUUUUGUUGAUUUUGAAUUUCUUAUGACCUUAUUUUGCUUUGUGAAAGGUCCCUAGAAAAAUUUCAUCACAAUAAUCCCCUAAAUAUGCAUCUUAGAAAGUACUUAAUAUCCACAAUAAGGCAGCUAUUUCCGACCUUGGAGUCCCUGAUUAUAUCAAAAUUGAACAAAUGCAGCCCAGUAGCUUCCUCAACCCCUUGGCUAACUAGUUAUCAACUCAAUGGAGGCAACUAUAGCCCUUCCAAGGCAGCCAAGCUGGUCUCACUAAGGGUUACUACACCCGAGAUCCAGUAUUCGAGUCUUGUAACAAAAAUAGGAAAUAACCCAACAACCCGAAUAAGGGUUGGGGUCUGCAGUGGGACCAGGUCCUUUUUUUGUUUAAAAAAAAAUGGAUGCAACUCUCCACAAUCCGAAUUACUCACGAUACAUGUUGGCAAUGUAAGGACUCGUAAAAUUAUUAUUUUUCGACCCCUAAUUUUUGUUCAUUUAAUUAUUUAUUCAAAUAUUUGCUCCGAUUAUUAUUUUCUAGCCUCAUUAGACCUAAGUACAUGAUAUUAUAGUUUCGUUACAUUUUUAAAGUGUCUCAUUUCAAAAAUUAUUUUCUUAGGAGCCUGUUUAGAGAAAAGGUGAAAACGCGUUUGGAAAAUCUUUGCCAAUAAAAAGUACAAUUAGGCCGGAAAAAUUUGAGACACGUACAACGGUUUUAAAAUAGGUAAUUUUAGAUUUAAAUACUUAAGUGAUAGUUAAUAGUAUUAUCGUUAUAAGAAUUUCUCGGAGGUUUCGCGUUAUAGCGUUAAAAUUGACGGUACGCAUUUUCACACGUGCGACUUUAUUUGAGGGACUUUAGACCCUUAUUUCGGGACAACUAAGAGUGAAUAAUAUUUAUAUGAGCAUAAGUGCUUUAGAGGUUUAGUGCACUAGUGAACCAAACGCGAGAGAAAUCGAGCCCUAAACGCACCAAACGAGCCCUAAUCAGAGUUGAUCUUGGAGUGAAUUUACACCACUCAUUUUAAUCUUCUCUUGGAAGUUAACCUUGAUCAAAUUUCACUCUUUCUUCUCUCUCCUAUUGCUGGCCAGCCCCUCUCCCUCUCUAACUCCCUUGUUUCAAAAAUUUCUUCACCAAAUCAACAACAAAACUCCAACCAAUCUUCACCAAACUUGUAGCUCAACUAGGAAACUACUUGGAGGUUGGAUCUAGCUAACUGAAGGGCUGCAUUUCAUGGUUUCUUGGAGCCUCUUGAGGACCAAAAUUUUCUGAUCUAAAGCACUAAGGAGGUAUAACAUAAUCCAACACCUUAAACUUGGUUUAUGGUAGUAGAAAUGCAUCUCUAAGCAAUUGCAUGUAUAUGGAUGGCUUGAUAUUGUUGAAAAAUUUGAAAGUGGGCUCUAUGAACUCCCACUCUUGGGUUGUUGCUGAUAAUAGGUUUAAUGUUGGCUUUAAUGGUAGUUUAGUGGUUAAAAUGAUAGAUUUAUGGAGUAUUAUUGUUGGAAACUCAAAGUUGAGGCCAUGACAAAAAUUUCCGAAACUGCCCCUGCUUUGUUCGGCCAUGAUAAGGCCAAUUUUUGAUGAUCUAAUGGCUUGAACCUGAUUUUUAUAUGUUGUAUUAGAUGUGUAAAAAUUUUCAUUGGAAAACAUUAACGUUUGGUUGGGCAAAUGAAUUUAUUUGUGAACUAGUCAAGCUGGAAAACUGUUUUCGGAUAACCCUGACCAGCGGUAGCAUUUUGACCAUAACUUUGUCCUCCGAUGUCAAAAUCGAGUGCCGUCAGUGGCAUUUGAAACUAGACAUCCAUACCUUUCCAACGGUAUAAAAUUCACAUUCUGAUUCCAUGUGUAAGAGCCGAACCAUUCAUUUUAAAACAGCUGUCCUGUUUCUCUAUUCUGUUGGAAUGAUUUGUUCAGGCAGCAACUUGAGGCUCAAUUUCGAGCUGGUUGUUUGCCAAAUUUCAGAACGUUUUCUUCUGUGAAUUUUUAGCCCUAUGAAUUUAUUUUCCAACGCCAUAAACCAUGCUCAAUUCCGAGUUAAUGCGACUGAGUUGUGAUCAAAACAAGAACACUGCUCUGUUUUGGAAAAACCUAGUUUUGGACAGAUUUGAGAUGAGACUUGUUGUGGUCUUACUAAAUGAAAUUCUUGGUGUUAAACACCUACCAAAUGUACCAUGAAUGUUCCAUAGACUUUCCUUUCACAUAUGAACCAUGAUUGGAGGAUUUUCUUAGCCAAACGAUUAGAUUUGGAAAGAAAAGGAUUAAAAGCAGAUUGCCUUAAGAAUUUUUCCAAACUUUAGUUGGUUCGUUGACUAUCUUCCCGAAGAUAUUUUUCUGUCAAACUUGAUAGAGAGAUACCCUUCAUAUAAGAGUAAAAUACUACCAAUUUUGGUAUCGAUUCAAGUUCGUUUCGAUACCUAACUAAACUUCCAAUGUUGGAAGUUCAAAUCUGGAAAUUCUUCUCCAGUCUUGAAUUUUCCCCAACUUUGAGCUACUGUAUCUCGGUACUCGAAACUCUGAUUCCUGAUCCGCUUGCUCUGCUAUAAACUUCACUUGCAACUCUAAUUGAGUUACAAAUUUCAGAGGCCGGUUCGCAACGUGUGAAUUUUGCCGAAUUUUCAAAGUUGGCCAAAAUCCAACUUAAUUCUGCCUUGUGAAUCGAUUCAGUACCUUCAAGCUUAUUUUUGAGCACUUUCCACUUCGAUUCAUGGAAAAGUGUCUUCUAGGAACUUGUAGUACUUUCUAAGAGGUUUCCAACGGUAUAAAGUUUUCCAAUUCUUGACUUAUGCCGAGUGAGUUACGAUUUUUCAAAAAUUCAUAACAAAACUGAAAUUUUCCAAUUUUCAAGGAAAUAGAGUUUUUCAAAAACUCUUUAUUCUGUUGAUAUUAUCUAAACGUUUUAUCCCCGAUUUCCUAGAUAAAUACUUAAAUACUUUUGAACGUCAUCAAACCCCACUCGAACCUCGAUUUACGAGUAAUUGGGAUUCAUUUUCACGGAAUUCUCUAGAUUAAUACUAGUGAACGAAUUAUUCCUCGAUAAUUAGGAUAUGAAUGAUAAUUCAUUAUUAUUUGCUCAAGCGCACACGAGGACCUUCAAGAGAAUCCCACGGUGGACGCUUGAACUUUCCUUGACCUUAGUUACACUUAAUACUUGGUGAGUGUCAAAUGUAUGUAAACUUGUUACAUGCUUAACUGUUAUUAAUGAUUGGAAAUCUUGAAAGUGGAGUCGAGUGUGUACUUUACCACACUCGUUCUCAUUAGAAAUGAAAUUUUAAUGAUUGAAAUGUAUUGAAUGAAUGAUUGAAACGUAUUGAAUGAAUGAAUGAAAUGUAAUAGUAUGCUAUAACUGCAUACGUCGUUGGAGUGAAUCUCCUCGACACACAAAUGCACAUGGGGACGCCCAGAUCUCAUUGGCCGACCUUGGAUUCGAGCCGACAUGGGUUUGGUCGGGAACCUUGGCGAGCCAUGAGAUAUAUAAGCCUGACCUAAUGAGAAGUCUUGCUUGACAUACUCGAGUAGUAUCGCCACAAACAAAUGACAGGCGGGCCCGAUACAGGGGUAUGUAAGGUGAAAGGGGACAGGUUAAGUGGAGUUCUACGGACUAAACCUAUCCGAUUGACGGAGUGUCAAUUCGUGGAGGUUAUUGAAUGUGCAAGUGGAAUAUAUAGCUCCUGAGAGCUCCAGUAUCCUUGAAUUGUUUCUGGUUAUCUUUCCAGUAAAUUGUUAAUUAUUAAAAUAUGAUUGCUUGACUUGUAAAUUGGGAUUGUUAUUUGAGCAAUGUGCUUGCCUGUGCGUUUUUGGCCUCACGAGCGUUUUGCUCACCCUGUAGAUUUGUUUUCCUUAACAGGACUGGAUUCGGAGACAUAUUGGAGAAACCCUCCUGAUGUACUAUUGUUUAGGGUUUCUAUCAUUUUUUGUCUAUGCCUCUUGGUUUUGGGUUGUGCUUUUGUAAUUGAAAUGUAGUAUUUGGGCAUAAGGUAUAUUUGGGUUUAAAGUUGUAUUUUGAACACCCGAUGUACGGGUUGGAUAAUGGAUGACCAUGGUUAAACUUGAACGCUUUCGCAUUAUUGUAUUUAUGUUAUUGUACUUGUGAAGUUAGUUUGGUAAUAAGUUUGAAUGUUUUGCGUGAGUCCUGGCGAGAGUUGGGCAAGCGUCCCGCAGAUACCCUUUGGUUCGCCAUAGGGAGAAGUGGGAGCGUCACAGUUGGUAUCAGAGCGCUAGGUUAGCGCUAGGUUAGAGAUCUAUAUGGGAGACAUAUUGGAUACUCUACCCUUAAGACCUGAGACCGGAUAAUUAAGUUAUACUUUAAAGGAUAUUUGGGACAUACUAGUGAUCGGGCUAGGCAUGCAUAAACGACAUUCGAACUAGAUAGUGAUUUAACUUUCUAACUCGAAAAGUGCUAUUAUUUUGCAGGGAUGAAAAAUGAAAAUGGAGUUCCGGCAGCUAACGGGGAUGGCCAUGCGAAUGGUCAUGUAGUGCCUCCUAGGCCUAUCUAUUACCGAGCUUUAGUUGGGGAAGCUCGUGCACGCUACUCGCCUGAUCCUCGAUACCCCCGAUGUGCUUGCAGGGUGACUUUUGCUUACCCAAACCAUGUUGUACUGGCCUUGGACGACGAGCGUCGUCAGUUGGUGACUGCCAACUUGGAUUUACAGGCUGAGGUGGACGAGCUUCGACAGAUGGUAAACGCUCAGGGCGAGAGGGUCGCCGAGUUUGAGGAGGUGAUUGAGAGCGAGAUGGCCACAUUUGCUGUGGUUAAUGAGGAGUUCCGGAGCACUAGGGCUCAGCUUACUAGGUUGAGAGAGGAGGUCCGUAGUCGGGCUUCCGAUAUCGUAGCUGAUGCCACUAGGCUAGUGGACGAGGCGAUGGGUGGAGCUCAGGACUCUGAGGAGGAUCCUGAGGAGGAGGUUCCUCCUGAUAGUCCUACUGUGAACUAGGUCUAGGCAGUUUGACCACUCUUUUGACCAGUAUAGCUAGAAUUAGUUUGGGUGAUGCUAAGUGCCGAGUCCAUUGUAUUUUGCAUGACUGUGUGGCUUAUUUUGAAGCACUUACUCUUACUUUAGUCUUCUGUGACUAAAAGCACUUCUGUGGCACCUGUGUGCUAUAUUUUUGUGACUACCCCAUGACUUGCUAAUUGUAUGAACUUGAUAUGCUAAUAAAUGUAAAUUAUUGUUAAUUCCAAUAUUUUCUUGAUCGGUUCCUGUUCUUUACUUUGCACCGCAUAAUUUAUUUAUUUAUUUCUUGCAUUAGGCAGGCCUAAGUUAUGGAAGGGCUAAGAAGGGGUUGAGGCCGUGGGCGAGGGACUAGACCGGCCCAAUCUCUGGGGAAUGACCAAGGAUCGGCAACUGGACCGACCCAGGGCCAGGAAAAUAUAGAGAGUAAUCAAGUGGCUACUGCCAUUAACAGGAUGACUGAUAUCCUAGAACGCUUAGCUGAUAGACCAGGACUUGGACCGUUCAACCAACCCGGGGGUCAGGAAAGAGGAGAGGAUAGAGCCCUAGAGAGGUUCUUAAAAUUUAACCCGCCUAAGUUCCUUGGCGAACCUGAUCCUGAGGUAACGGAGAAUUGGUUAGAAAGGAUGACCAACAUAUUCGCUACUUUAGAUUACACUGAGGAUAGGCGAGUGAACUUUGCUGCUUUCCAAUUUGAGCGAGUAGCCCGUGCUUGGUGGGAUCUAAUAAAAGAAAAAUAGGAAAGGGCUCAAACCCCUUGGAUUUAGGAGAAUUUCACAAGGGAAUUUAAUGAAAAGUUUCUUCCGUCCUUAAUCCAAGAGAAGAGGGAGGAUAAAUUUAUUAAGUUGAAACAAGGAACCCUUACCGUAGCAGAAUACGAGGGAAAAUUCACUAAGCUUUCCAAGUAUGCCCCUGAGCUAGUGGUCAAUGAACGAAAGAGGAUUAGACGGUUUGUUCAAGGACUUAAUGUGGAGAUACAAGAGGGUUUGGCUGCAACCCAAAUCUCUACAUUCACUGAGGCACUAGAGAAAGCUCAAAGGGUAGAAAAUGCAAGGAUGCAAGUGAGAGACUUCCACAGUAGAAAAAGAAACUUUCCUAGCCAUACCUCUGGACAAGCAAGUAAGAGUGCACAACCUUCCAAGAUGGGAAGAGGAGCAGGAGGAGUGAAGUCUGUUGGAGCUUUUAGGGGAGCUCUAUCUAGAGGGAGUCGUAGUGGGACGACUCAAUUUAGGGGAGCGCCUCCUACUGGAUCAGCCGUGACUCCUCAAGUUACAUGUGGAUACUGCGGUAAAUCCAACCAUUCUGAGAACGAUUGCUGGAGAAAGUCGGGGAAAUGUUUAUUUUGUGGUAGUACUGAAUAUCAAGUCGUCAAUUGUCCAAAAUCACCAAAGACAAGGGGAAAUGCUCAAAGGCCAGAAAAGUCAACUUCAAAGUAGACCAGUGCCGAAGGGAGCCGACCGAAAGUACCGGCCAAGAUUCGUGCACUGGAUUAUCAACAAGCUCCUGAGGCAACUGAGGUGGUAGAAGGUACAAUCCCAAUCUUUCACCGUUUAGCUAGGGUUUUAAUUGAUCCGGGUGCAAUUCAUUCCUUUGUAAACCCUAACUUCAUGAAUGAAAUAGACUUGAAGCCAAUUAAGUUACCCUAUGACUUGGAGGUUAAAACACCCACUGGAGACAAAAGCUUAAUUGCUAAUUUGGAGUAUAGGAAUAGUGAAAUCUAUGUAGGGGAACGAAAAUUAUGGGCCGACUUGAUCGGUUUGACGAUUAAGGGAUACGAUGUAAUCUUGGGAAUGGAUUGGUUAGCCCGUUAUAAUGCUCAGUUAAACUGCAGGACGAAUAUUGUAGAGUUGCGUAUUCCAAGAGAAGCAACCCUGAAACUAGAUGUAAGGGGUAAAUUAGUUUCGUCUGCACUUAUUUCAGGAAUUCGGGCUAGAAAAUUAUUAAGUAAAGGAGCUCAAGGGUAUUUGGCUUUUCUUAUUAACACUCCUAUUGAUAAGGUGAAUUUGGAAGACACACCGGUAGUAAAGGAUUUUUCAGAUGUUUUUCCUGAAGAAUUGGAAUCUCUACCCCCGGAACGGAAAAUAGCUUUUAAGAUCGAUAUGAUUCCGGGAGUGGCACCUAUUUCUAGAACACCAUAUCGGAUGGCUCCAGCGAAAUUUAAAGAGUUGAAAUUACAACUGCAAGACCUAUUGGAAAGGGGAUUUAUAAAAGAGAGUGAUUCUCCGUGGGGAGCCCCAGUCUUGUUUGUUAAGAAAAAGGAUGGGAGUUUGAGACUGUGUAUAGACUAUAGAGGUUUGAAUGACGUCACCAUUAAGAAUAAAUACCCACUGCCCCACAUUAACGAGUUGUUUGACCAAUUGCAAGGAGUUGUAGUAUUCUCGAAAUUGGAUUUGAGAUAGGGUUAUUAUCAGUUGAGGAUUUUGGAAAAGGACAUACCCAAAACUGCUUUUAACUCGAGAUAUGGCAAUUUUGAGUUUGCCGUGAUGCCAUUCGGGUUAACAAAUGCUCCUGCUACUUUUAUGGAUUUAAUGCAUAGGGUUUUUAAUCCCUAUUUGGACCAAUUUGUAGUAGUGUUCAUUGAUGAUAUUUUGGUGUAUUCUAAGAAUGUGGAGGAUCAUGAGAAGCAUUUGAGGAUUGUUCUGCAAGCUUUAAGGAAACAUCAACUAUAUGCUAAAUUUAGUAAGUGUGAGUUCUGGUUAAAAGAAGUGAUUUUCUUGGGACACAUAAUUUCUAAGAAUGGGAUUAAAGUAGAUCCAGCUAAAGUUGAAGUUGUUUCGAAAUGGAAACGACUGGAAAACUCUACCGAGAUUCGGAGUUUUAUUAGAUUAGCAGGGUAUUACCGGAGAUUCAUUCAAGAUUUUUUGAAAAUUGCUGGACCCAUAACUGAAUUGACCAAGAAAAAUGGGAAGUUUUUAUGGAAUCCUAAAUGUGAGGAAAGUUUUCAGGAAUUGAAAGGGCGGUUGACAAGGGCACCUAUGUUAGCUUUGCCAAACGGAAAGGAUAGUUUUGUGGUUUACACAGAUGCUUCUAAGGAAGGAUUGGGGUGUGUUCUAAUGCAAAAUGACAGAGUGAUAGCAUAUGCCUCUAGGAAAUUGAAACCGCAUGAAGGGAAUUACCCGACUCAUGACUUGGAGUUAGCAGCUGUGGUUUUUGCUUUAAAGAAAUGGAGGCAUUAUCUGUAUGGAGUGACAUUUGAGGUUUUUACAGACCACAAAAACCUUAAGUACUUAUUUUCUCAAAAGGAAUUGAAUUUGAGACAACGUAGAUGGAUGGAAUUUUUUGGAAGACUAUGACUGUACGAUUAAAUACCAUCCAGGGAAAGCUAAUGUAGUGGCUGAUGCUUUGAGUCGCCAAGUACAGAUGGCUGGAUUGAUGAUUAAGGAAUUCGAAUUGUUGAAAAAUGUUAGUCAGUGGAAUCCUCGACUGGAACCGAGAAAAGUAAUUCUGGGGAACAUUGUAUUGAAUUCUCCUUUGAUGGAACGUAUCAAGGAAUCUCAAGGAAAGGACACUGAAGUACAGAAAUGGUCGGAAAAGGUUAAAAAGGGAGACAAAUCGGAUUUUAACUUGGGACCGAAUGGUGUAUUGAGAUUUCAAAAUCGGGUAGUCGUGCCAAAGGAUGAAGGGCUUAGAAAGAAAAUUUUAGAAGAGGCACACCGAUCAAAGUUUACAGUACAUCCAGGAGGGAAUAAAAUGUACCAGGACUUGAAGAGUCUUUAUUGGUGGGAGAAUAUGAAGAAGGAGAUUACUCAAUUUGUUCAAACAUGCUUAAUUUGUCAACAGGUUAAAGCCGAACAUCAGAAACCAUCAGGGCUUUUGCAACCUCUAGAAAUACCUGAGUGGAAAUGGGAGAAUAUCACUAUGAAUUUUGUAUCGGGGUUACCAAGAACACAGAGAGGCCAUGAUGCGAUUUGGGUAAUCGUGGAUAGAUUGACCAAAUCAGCUCAUUUUCUGCCGAUUAUUAUGAAAUACCCAUUGGAGAAGUUGGCCAGGUUGUAUUUGGAUGAGAUCAUUAGGUUGCAUGGAAUACCUGUCAGUAUCGUGUCGGAUAGAGAUCCAAGAUUUGUUUCGAGGUUCUGGCAAAAGAUGCAAGAAGUGUUAGGGACUAAAUUGAACUUUAGUACCACUUAUCAUCCCCAGACGGAUGGACAGUCGGAGAGGACAAUUCAAACUCUUGAGGACAUGUUACGGACUUGUGUUCUGGAUUUUGGAGAGAGUUGGAGUAAGUUUUUUACUUUAGUGGAGUUUGCCUACAAUAAUAGUUCCACUCUUCUAUUCAGAUGGCCCCGUAUGAGGCACUUUAUGGUCGGAGAUGUAGGUCUCCACUUUGUUGAGAUGAAAUAGGUGAACGGAAAAUCUUAGAUCCGACCACAGUAUCUUGGAUUGAAGAAACUAAUGAGAAAGUAAGGUUGGUACGCCAAAGAAUUCAGACCGCCCAGAGCCGCCAAAAGAGUUAUGCCGAUAAUCGAAGAAAAGAUUUGGAAUUUACUGUUGGAGAUUUGGUAUUUCUCAAGAUUACACCUUUGAAAGCAAGUUUGAUGUCAGGAAAAGGAAAGAAGUUACAGCCAAGGUUUGUAGGGCCUUACAAGGUUAUCCAACGUGUAAGGAGUGUAGCCUAUAAGUUGGAAUUACCGCUGAGUUUGUCUCGAAUCCAUAAUGUGUUCCAUGUAUCUAUGCUCAAGAAGUAUCAUCCGGACCCUUCUCACGUCUUGCAACCGGAAAAUGUUGAGAUUGAUGAGACUUUGACCUAUGAGGAAAAACCGGUUAAGCUUCUGGAUAGGAAGGUGAAGGAAUUGAGGAAUAAACAGAUACCAUUAGUAAAAGUCCUUUAGAAGAACUAUGGGUUGGAGGAAGCAACUUGGGAGGUCGAAAAAGCAAUUCGAGAAAAGUAUCCAAACCUGUUCGCCAAUCAAGGUAAAUUUCGAGGACGAAAUUUUCUUAAGGGGGAGAGGAUGUGAGGACUCGUAAAAUUAUUAUUUUUCGACCCCUAAUUUUUGCUCAUUUAAUUAUUUAUUCAAAUAGUUGCUCCGAUUAUUAUUUUCUAGCCUCAUUAGACCUAAGUACAUGAUAUUAUAGUUUCGUUACAUUUUUAAAGUGUCUCGUUUCAAAAAUUAUUUUCUUAGGAGCCUGUUUAGAGAAAAGGUGAAAACGCGUUUGGAAAAUCUUUGCCAAUAAAAAGUACAAUUAGCCCGGAAAAAUUUGAGACAUGUACAACGGUUUUAAAAUAGGUAAUUUUAGAUUUAAAUACUUAAGUGAUAGUUAAUAGUACUAUCGUUAUAAGAAUUUCUCAGAGGUUUCGCGUUAUAGCGUUAAAAUUGACGGUACGCAUUUUCACACGUGCGACUUUAUUUGAGGGACUUUAGACCCUUAUUUCGGGACAACUAAAAGUGAAUAAUAUUUAUAUGAGCAUAAGUGCUUUAGAGGUUUAGUGCACUAGUGAACCAAACGCGAGAGAAAUCGAGCCCUAAACGCACCAAACGAGCCCUAAUCAGAGUUGAUCUUGGAGUGAAUUUACACCACUCAUUUUAAUCUUCUCUUGGAAGUUAACCUUGAUCAAAUUUCACUCUUUCUUCUCUCUCCUAUUGCCGGCCAGCCCCUCUCCCUCUCUAACUCCCUUGUUUCAAAAAUUUCUUCACCAAAUCAACAACAAAACUCCAACCAAUCUUCACCAAACUUGUAGCUCAACUAGGAAACUACUUGGAGGUUGGAUCUAGCUAACUGAAGGGCUGCAUUUCAUGGUUUCUUGGAGCCUCUUGAGGACCGAAAUUUUCUGAUCUAAAGCACUAAGGAGGUAUAACAUAAUCCAACACCUUAAACUUGGUUUAUGGUAGUAGAAAUGCAUCUCUAAGCAAUUGCAUGUAUAUGGAUGGCUUGAUAUUGUUGGAAAAUUUGAAAGUGGGCUCUAUGAACUCCCACUCUUGGGUUGUUGCUGAUAAGAGGUUUAAUGUUGGCUUUAAUGGUAGUUUAGUGGUUAAAAUGAUAGAUUUAUGGAGUAUUAUUGUUGGAAACUCAAAGUUGAGGCCAUGACAAAAAUUUCUGAAACUGCCCCUGCUUUGUUCGGCCAUGAUAAGGCCAAUUUUUGAUGAUCUAAUGGCUUGAACCUGAUUUUUAUAUGUUGUAUUAGAUGUGUAAAAAUUUUCAUUGGAAAACAUUAACGUUUGGUUGGGCAAAUGAAUUUAUUUGUGAACUAGUCAAGCUGGAAAACUGUUUUCGGAUAACCCUGACCAGCGGUAGCAUUUCGACCAUAACUUUGUCCUCCGAUGUUGAAAUCGAGUGCCGUUGGUGGCAUUUGAAACUAGAUAUCCAUACCUUUCCAACGGUAUAAAAUUCACAUUCUGAUUCCAUGUGUAAGAGCCGAACCAUUCGUUUUAAAACAGAUAUCCUGUUUCUCUAUUCUGUUGGAAUGAUUUGUUCAGGCAGCAACUUGAGGCUCAAUUUCGAGCUGGUUGUUUGCCAAAUUUCAGAACGUUUUCUUCUGUGAAUUUUUAGCCCUAUGAAUUUAUUUUCCAACGCCAUAAACCAUGCUCAAUUCCGAGUUAAUGCGACUGAGUUGUGAUCAAAACAAGAACACUGCUCUGUUUUGGAAAAACCUAGUUUUGGACAGAUUUGAGAUGAGACUUGUUGUGGUCUUACUAAAUGAAAUUCUUGGUGUUAAACACCUACCAAAUGUACCAUGAAUGUUCCUUAGACUUUCCUUUCACAUAUGAACCAUGAUUGGAGGAUUUUCUUAGCCAAACGAUUGGAUUUGGAAAGAAAAGGAUUAAAGGCAGAUUGCCUUAAGAAUUUUUCCAAACUUUAGUUGGUUCGUUGACUAUCUUCCCGAAGGUAUUUUUCUAUGAAACUUGAUAGAGAGAUACCCUUCAUAUAAGAGUAAAAUACUACCAGUUUUGGUACCAAUCCAAGUUCGUUUCGAUACCUAACUAAACUUCCAAUUUUGGAAGUUCAAAUCUGGAAAUUCUUCUCCAGUCUUGAAUUUUCCCCAACUUUGAAACUUCGAUUCCUGAUCCGCUUGCUCUGCUAUAAACUUCACUUGCAACUCUAAUUGAGUUACAAAUUUCAGAGGCCGGUUCGUAACGUGUGAAUUUUGCCGAAUUUUCAAAGUUGGCCAAAAUCCAACUUAAUUCUGCCUUGUGAACUGAGUCAGUACCUUCAAGCUCAUUUUUGAGCACUUUCUACUUCGAUUGAUGGAAAAGUGUCUUCUAGGAACUUGUAGUACUUUCUAAGAGGUUUCUAACGGUAUAAAGUUUUCCAAUUCUUGACUUAUGUCGAGUGAGUUACGAUUUUUCAAAGAUUCAUAACAAAACUGAAAUUUUCCAACUUUCAAGGAAAUAGAGUUUUUCAAAAACUCUUUAUUCUGUUGAUAUUAUCUAAACGUUUUAUCCCCGAUUUCCUAGAUAAAUACUUAAAUACUUUUGAACGUUAUCAAACCCCACGCAAACCUCGAUUUACGAGUAAUUGAGAUUCAUUUUCACGAAAUUCUCUAGAUUAAUACUAGUGAACGAAUUAUUCCUCGAUAAUUGAGAUAUGAAUGAUAAUUCACUAUUAUUUGCUCAAGCGCACACGAGGACCUUCAAGAGGAUCCCACGGUGGACGCUUGAACUUUCCUUGACCUUAGUUACACUUAAUACUUGGUGAGUGUCAAGUGUAUGUAAACUUGUUACAUGCUUAACUGUUAUUAAUGAUUGGAAAUCUUGAAAGUGGAGUCGAGUGUGUACUUUACCACACUCGUUCUCAUUAGAAAUAAAAUUUUAAUGAUUGAAAUGUAUUGAAUGAAUGAUUGAAACGUAUUGAAUGAAUGAAUGAAAUGUAAUAGUAUGCUAUAACUGCAUACGUCGUUGAAGUGAAUCUCCUCGACACACAAAUGCACAUGGGAACGCCCAGAUCUCAUUGGCCGACCUUGGAUUCGAGCCGGCAUGGGCUUGGUCGGGAACCUUGGCGAGCCAUGAGAUAUAUAAGCCUGACCUAAUGAGAGGUCUUGCUUGGCAUACUCGAGUAGUAUCGCCACAAACAAAUGACAGGCGGGCCCGAUACAGGGGUAUGUAAGGUGAAAGGGGACAGGUUAAGUGGAGUUCUACGGACUAAACCUACCCGAUUGACGGAGUGUCAAUUCGUGGAGGUUAUUGAAUGUGCAAGUGGAAUAUAUAGCUCCUGAGAGCUCCAGUAUCCUUGAAUUGUUUCUGGUUAUCUUUCCAGUAAAUUGUUAAUUAUUAAAAUAUGAUUGCUUGACUUGUAAAUUGGGAUUGUUAUUUGAGCAAUGUGCUUGCCUGUGCGUUCUUGGUCUCACGAGCGUUUUGCUCACCCUGUAGAUUUGUUUUCCUUAACAGGACUGGAUUCGGAGACAUAUUGGAGAAACUCUCCUGAUGUACUAUUAUUUAGGGUUUCUAUCAUAUUUUGUCUAUGCCUCUUGGUUUUGGGUUGUGCUUUUAUAAUUGGAAUGUAGUAUUUGGGCAUAAGGUAUAUUUGGGUUUAAAGUUGUAUUUUGAACACCCGAUGUACGGGUUGGAUAAUGAAUGACCAUGGUUAAACUUGAACGCUUCCGCAUUAUUGUAUUUAUGUUAUUGUACUUGUGAAGUUAGUUUGGUAAUAAGCUUGAAUGUUUUGCGUGAGUCCUGGCGAGAGUUGGGCAGGCGUCCCGCAGAUACCCUUUGAUUCGCCUUAAGGAGAAGUGGGGGCGUCACAGGCAAACUCCUGCAAAAUAAUCCAUGACUUAUAAAUAAUUCAUAUUUAUGACCUUUUAGUGUUUAAACCUUUAUUAGGGACCAUGCUAAUCUUCUCUGUGUCAUUCCAAUUAUAUCGGAUGUCCCCGAAGGGACACUUUAUUUCCGUACUAUUAAAACUGCUUCUUGUUAUUAUGUUGUCCGUACAGUAAUGGGCUUAUACACAUGGUUUUUUAAUAUCAAAUUACAAAGAAAUUCUAUUGUUUACUACUCAAUUGGGCUAAACGUACAAUUGAAAAAAAAAAGAUAAUUGUACAUAGCUGAAAACGGUUAAAGCCAAAUGAACAUUGCAAAUUUUGUGCAACAUAGAAUAUGCACUUCGAUGAAAUGUUUUCUCACGAUGUGUGUGACAAAAUAUAUUACUAUUACUUCUUCUUCUUAAUUAUCCAAAUGAAGCUACAAACGGAUAUUUUUCCGCAAAUUACAGAUAUCACAAGUAAUAGCUCUCAACUCCCAUCCCAUACAUCCUAACUUCAUUGAUGAACAUGAAAGAACAUUUUCUUUACCAUUGCAUAUGUGGAGUACACUAGCAACAGCAAGAGCAUAUCUUCAACACAUUAUCAGCUGCAGUUUCUACUUGGUGAAAUCAAAUUUUCCAUUCAUUCAUAUUUCAUGUAGUAGGUCUAGUAACUUCAAUUUUCCGGUUCCACAUUCGAUCUUGCUUUUUAUAAGAUUACUAAUUCCUUUUAACUUUCCUCUUUUUAUCGGUCUUAUUUGAUUGAAGGAUGUCUGAUUAUAAUGUGGGUCGGGAAGAUGUCCAUCAUGCUGCAGUUUUCGUGCUUCUGCCGUGCAUAUUUUUGAAGAAUAGCAAUGAAAUUCUAUCUAUAUGAAUAAAAAAAGAAAAGGAAGAAGAAGAUGAGGAAUAUCCAGAAUUUAAAAAAAAAAAAAGGUAAAGAAGCCAAGUGUAAAUUUUCUUUUCUAGGCGAAUUCAAGUGUAAAUUAAUCAUUAAAGUAUUAAAAGAUUAGUUGUACAUAAUUUAUUGCAUAAUAAAUAGAAUUUCGUGUAUGGCAUUUCUUUUAGUUUUUGUACCUCCUUUACAAAAUUUCAAAAUUCCUUUUUUUGUCCAUCAUCUGGUUAUACAAAGCAAUUGAUCCUUAACUUGAAGAUUGUAAUUAUAAGCAAUUCAUUUUCCAUGGUGGAAGAUUAGACAUGAUGUGAGAAAGAACACUUCCUGGAAUCGCAGCCAUGCUUAAACGCGACUUGAAAUGGUUCAAAGGGUGAUCAAUUUCAGUCAUGCUUAAACGUGACUUGAAAAGAUCUUCUUGUCAGCUUCGUUUAAUUAGUACUAGUAUAUGCUAAUUUGGAAAGAAAAUUAAGUUCAUUAGUAAACAUUUUUGCUAAAUUGAACCCUUCAGAUAAACUAAUGAUAUGUGCAAAGAAACGUUGGAUCUCAAUAUCCGUAACCAAUACACUUCCAGGAGGCUUUCUAGGAGAUGUAGCAGCAAACACUUCCACCCCAGCCUCACUACUAGAGCUAGCUGUGGUAGACACCAUAUUCUAAAACAAUCCUCUUGGUUUACUAGAAUUUAGCUCUAGGGGCCUUUGUCCAAUGCUUAUCCGUUGGCAAAAUAAACCAAAUCUAGAAGUUUCUAUUUAUUUAUUUAUUAAUAUUAUUGGAAUGAGGUUUUUAGUAGUUGUGUUAUUUUGGAGUUUGUAUUUUAUUUGGUAAUUUUUUAUGAAAGUAAUUUCGUAUUUUACAAAUUUUGAUAAGUUAUAAAGAUGGUAUUAGUUGGAGUAUUUUUUUAAAAAAUAAAGUAGGUUCUGUUUGAUUACUCAAUUCAGUAUCUAAACUUAAUACAUUCAGAUCUUAACAUGUUUAGAUGCGUUUAAUAACAAAAAAUUGAUUAUGUCUAUUGAUUAAGUAGCGCUAAGUUUUCUAAACAAAACUUGUUCCCAAAAAUAAGUGAUAAACUAUUCAUUUAUCACUUAAUAUGAUAGACACUCAAGUGCAUCAAAUUUAGUAUUUAAUAAUUCAAUAAUUUAAUAUAUUCAAAUUUCAAAUUUCAAAGUUCAGUUUUCAAACUUCAAUUUUAUCAAAUACAUCCUAAGAGAUUCAAGAGAGUCCAAGAGAGUUUGUUAGGAUUUAUUCUGGUGCAACUUUCUUCCAUAGUUUGAAAUAUCAAUUAUAUUGUGAGUUAUUUAUUUUCUUCUCUCCCACAUAUUUUUUGAGUGAUUAUUUCAUCCUUCAAUUUACAAAGUUGCAUGCAUAAUUAUUAUUAGAACCCUAAAUUUGGGUUCAACAUUAUUCACUACAUGAAUAUUCUUCUGCUAAGCAAUCUUAGGCAUCCAUUUCUGACUCGCUUUAGGAUGUAGAGGACAUUUACUGGUGUAGUUUCCAGAGCACUUAGCACAGCAUGGAGAAUCCAUUUAUAUUCAAUUGACUGGUAAACAGUUUCACCAACACUCAAAUUCAACACACACUCUAGCAAAUGACACCCAAGUUUGUACAUAUAACUGUGUGCUGAUCUAUAUACAAAGCUGACCAAUGAAACUAGGUAAAUUGCUAAGUAUCCCAAUUAUAUAGUAGUGCAAGCUAAGCCCAGGAAAUUGAAUCCGGACGGGAAUUGUCUUGAAUUCUUCAGAGCUAGAUCGAGAGAGGGACUCCACAGCCUUAAGAACAACACAUUUUACUACCCAAAAGGCCAAGGGACUUCUUGUAUGGAGAAAUAUAAACCAAACUUUUGCUAUUUAUUUAUGUUGCCAUGUGGCUUUAGUCUGAUUGGUUGGUUUUAUUAAGGUGGGCCAUGUAGGUAUGAAUUCUUUAUUAGUAUUAGUAAAAGUUUUUGUAUAGGAUAUAAGUACUAAGUCUGGCUGUUUGCAUUUGACAUAUAAUUAUACAGCUGCAUAAAGACAUUAUAGUGAGAAGUGUCUGUCUGCUGUGUUUUCUUUGUUUUGCGCCACUGCUUGAUUUUCAUCAAUAAAGAAUUUCUUUGCCUCUAUAUCGGUUUUUCUUGAUUGUUCUUGUGAGUUUUUGUGUAUUUAUCAUUUUGGGUCCAUCAUUGUAGCACCACAUUCUUACUACUCUCCCCCUCAAAAUGACAAAGCUUAACUAUAGGCACAAGCGAAGACUGAAUAUUCUGAGAAGGAAUAUAUGAAAAUCUCAUGUCCCCAUGAGAAGUUCCAGAUUUCAUAUGAUUUGUAGCCAAGAAGCCAGUUUCAGUGGAAAGCACUGCCUAACUCAAAACCAUUAACUUUUCUACCUUGCAUCUGAGUUUCAGCCAAAGAGGGAAAUGUAGGGAGGUCUUUCUCAAUGCUCUUCAUCUAGCUUACUACCACUCCCCUCAUCCUUAUUGAACUUUCUCUGGCUGCAACUCACUAACAUUUCUUCAAAGCAAAGAUCCAAUUGCAUACAGGAUUCAGCUUCAUUCUGGCUGCCAUAAGAAUCUAACAAGAAAACUCCAUAAAAGCUGGGAAAACAGAACCAAAACAAAAAUCCACUCCGAGACGAAGGUAAUAUAGGCAGGACUAGUGGUGGAAGAUAACAGUGUAACUCAUUGGAGCUCGGAAGCUCCAACAAUAGCAGAAAGUAGACAGACAUAGGUUAGUAUACAGCUACUUUUUUUUCAACCCAUGUUAGUAGGCGAUUACUUGAGAGAGAAAGAGAGAGAGAGAGAGAAAGUUUCCACAUCUUUUUUAUAUAUGGGAAAAGUUAAAUUGUUCUUAUCUGCAUUGGCAAGAAUGUGUUUAAAGUCAUUGAAAUUAAAUUCAAUUUGUUAAUGUAAUUCGUGUUUACUCGUACCAUGCCCAUAAACUGCACGUAUGGGAAUUAAAACUGCUCGUGUCAAAAUUUAGGUAUCAAAACUACAAUUUUCUUUUUUUUCAAUUUGUAAAUCAUGAAAAAGUAUUAAAAAUAUAUCUCAAGAUGUGAAUUCACAGCUUCCACACCUCAUAGGAGAAAUGAUAUUGGAAAAACUGAUGUUCUGUAGAUUUGAUUCGAAUCCACACAACACAGACAUUAGUUAAUCUGCCUCUUUGCACAGAUAAUGGUCAAAAUGAUUGAGAAACUUCGCAACAUUGCUGGCUCAAAGGACCAUGUGGACAAUGAUGAAUUUUUGGGGUUAAUAUGCGUCGAAAGAAGGUGUGGAUACAUAUCUCUUGAAUGCAAUCCACGGGAAACAGUUGCAUGCUAUUUUUGUAGAGUUUGUUGAAGAGAUGUUCUUCCUCUUCUUCAUGAACAUCAAUCUAUUAUUUUCACUCUAAUUUUUGUCUCAAAUUAAAAAAAAAAAAAGUUACUAAUUUUGGAUCAGUUUUUUCAACCCCUUUCUUCUUUCAUUAAUUUCAUACCAUUUGGGCUCAUUAGAAAGCAGAGUUGGCAGUAGUGGCUUGGGUUGCAGUUUAUAAGCGUUGGAUCCAAUCUUCAGCUUCUUUUUUCUGGAAUCCUCAUACACUUCAACCUAAGAUAGCUAAGAAAUGUAGGUAUCAUGUAAAACCAGGAAAAAAAAAAAAAAGAGUUAAAGAGGAUGGAGAAAAAAAUUUUGUAUCGUCCACAUGUGCUUUGCAAGUUAAUUAUGUUUAUCAAGAUGUGGAAAAGAGUACAUAAUAGAGGGUGACAUAAAAUCCUACCUCUUGAUAUAAAUGAAAUGCAAAUUUUGACAUAAAUGAAGCUAAAAAUAUUGUCUCAACAUUGUCACAAUGAUGAUAACGCGAGGCACUACAAUUUUUGACUUGAAAUCUUGUCAUGUUUGCAUAAUUUUAUUAGAUAAAUGUAGGAUUGGGAGAAAUGAAUAUGUUUCUCAAAGUUUUUGUAAGAAAAUUAUGCAUAUAUUUAUAGCUUGUACAAAGUGAAUUUAAAUAACUAAUACAUUGAAUCUAGAAUAAUUUAUAUGAGAUAAAUUCGUAAUUGAUACUAAUUAAGUAAAUCCCAAAUUAAUGCUAAUUAAUAGAAUAUAAUACACUAGUUGAUACACUAAAUCAUUUACAUUAACAUCCUACCUCAAACUUAAGGUGAGUGCAAGGAAACCAGCUUAAGUUUGCACCUAAACGUUUGAAACCCAUCAACCACAAAUAAUUUGGAUUCUUGUUCAUGCAUUUAACUUAUUUUGGCCCCCUUCUACUUUGAAAACAAUAAGGGAAAAAAUUACCUUAUGAAAGACAAUUUUGGCAAUAGAAAUUUCAGUUCGGAGUGAAUUACUCGUGCAAUAGAAGGGCAACUAAACAGGAACUACCUGAUUUUUUGUGGCAAGGGAAGUGCUGGACCAAGUUUACAAAUUUGUCAUUCUCUUUUGGGUUAUUAUCACUUUACCCCCUUAAACUAUAUCACUACUAUCAGUUUACCCCCUAACGUUAUCUUUUAUUCACUUCACCCCCAUAAGUAAUUCAACCAACAUAUUAAGAAAUUUUGGACAAAAAUACCCUUUUAUUCUAUAACAUUACUACACUGUUAUUAUUACUUUAUUCCUUUAAAUUAUAGUGAUAUAAUCUAUUUAAUUCCUAACGUUAUUUUCUUGACAUUUUACUUCAUCGUUAAUCUAACUACUGUGGUCAAAAAAUUUAAAUAUAUUUACCCUUAUAUAUAUAAUUAAAAAUAAAAAAUUUAGAAUGAUUAUUCUUCUUUUUUUUCACUUUAAGAGAUCCAAAAAUAUAAAAAUAAAAGGGUUUUCUCAAAUUUCUUUUUUCACACUUAUUAAUACUAUGAAAAGAAAAAGAGAUAGGAAAGAAGAUGACAGAAAAUUAGAUUUUGUAAAGGAAAAAAAGUCUAACAAUAUCGUAUUAAUUUAAGAUUGUUGGGAUUAGAAUUGAAAUCCGGUAAUAAACAGUAAAGUGAAAUAAUUUUAAAAUAAUAAAAGUAUUCAAUUUUUUCUUAUUUGUAUUUUCUAAAGGAAUUGAGCUCUCUCUCUCUCUCUAUCUCUCUCUCCCCCUCUCCCUCCCCCUUCCGAUCUUUCUAUUUUUUAAUAUUAAUAAGAUUGUUAAGAAGAAAGGAAUUAAUAUUUUGACUUUUUUUCUUGAUACUAAAGAGGAGAAGAGCCACUCUAAAUUUUUUAUUAAUUUUAUUAUACAAAGAGGAGGGUACUUUCUUCUAAAAUUUUUUAACUUGCUAAAUUGAUUUAAUGGUGGGAUAAAUUGCCUAAAAAAUAACUCUAUGGGAUAAAUUGAUAUUGAGACUAUAGUUAAUGGGGGUAAAAUGAUAAUAACUUUAAGGGCUAAACUUGUCUUUUUACUUUAAUUAACAAACUCCAUUAAGUUUGACCGUUAGUUUUAGGGGUAAAGUGACUAAAAGAUAACGUAAAGGGGAAAAUUGAUAGUUGUACCGAAUCUUAAGGGGGUAAAGUGAUAAUAACCCUUCUCUUUUUCAUAACUGAAAUUAUGCAAUCAAAUCCAGGCCACAAUCUAUUAUGCAUGCCUAGGAUAAUAUAUUUCUCCUCCUUUGAUUGAAUCUCAAAGUGGAUGAGAGGAGUAAAAAGAAUCGGUAACAAACAUUACCAACAAUCCCUAAUCCUUGUCGGUUGUUUGACUAAUAUUUUUCGUGCCAAAAGGUCAAAUUAUUGGCUGGGGCCAUGCACAGUUUUCAUAAAAUUGUGGGCAAUGAUUGAUAAAUAAAAACUAACGAUCUACUCUGAAAAGGGAUUACCAACCUCCGAACACUUUUUAUUUUGCCUUACAUUUGCACCCUCUAAAUUUUUGGACAAAUUACAUUUAACCCCCCUAUAGUUUAGUAUUUUUUGUACAUAACCCUCCUAUGGUUUCAAAAACUAUACAUAACCCCCUCAUUAUUUGAAUUAAAGUAUCAAAGUGACGGAAAUGAUCAUUCAUAACAAAAUCUUUAAAAAUGUUGAAAUUACUCUUGUUUAAAAAUUAAAAUGCUUGAAGUGAUCAAAAUAUAUAAACAUAAUAUGUAUAUAUGACACGCUAACCCGGUAUGGUUUUAUGUUUUACCAUAUAACCCCCUUAUGGUUUAAUGCUUUACUAUAUAACCCCCUUAUGGUUUUCAAAAUAUACACAUAACCCCCCCUGUGGUUAGUAAAUAAUUUUCAACUUGACAUAGAGGUAUUUUUGACAUUUUAGGUGAUUCCGUUAUGGAUUGUAAAUUUCGUUACUUUGAUACGUAAUCCAAACUAUGAAGGGGUUAUGUAUAGUUUUAGGAACCAUAGGGGUGUAUGUACAAAAAUACUAAACCACAAGGGGUAAAGUGUAAUUUGCCCUAAAUUUUUUGAAAUUCCUUUACCCUUUGCAAUAGGCACUUAAACUUUCUAGAUUUCCAUUUAUCGAUUAUGUUGCCCUUCUGAAGAAAUGUAAUUUGUACUAUCAUGGCCGAUUUCUCAAAACUAAGUCUGAGAUAAACUUAACCGUCCUUAUAUUUAUGUCGUCGAUGCUGUCAUCUCAGAAUUUUUAGUAAAAAAAAAAGUGAAGAAAUAUCUAUGGGCCAUGAAAGAAUUCCAAAGAUUGUGAAUGUUGCAAUUGUUGAUUCUUAGUUACAAACAGGAGCAGAGCCAUAUUAAGUUGAGGGUGGACAAUCACACCUCUCAACUUUGAAAAAUUCCUCCAUUGACACCUCCUGAAAAUUUUCAAAUUUCCUUUCUUUAUUUAUAUUGCCCCUCUAAGUUCAUAAAGUAUUUGUUUUCAUUGCCUACUUUAGACAUGAACACAUUCAAAAAAAAUUUUAAGUUUUAUUUUCAAAACAAAAGAAGAAUCUUGAAACUCAUGGUACAUACAGAUGAACUAGUAGUUUUCAUUUGAAUUAAUUUUUCAAGAAUUAUAGUUGUGAUCUAGUGCUCAAAAAAAAAGCUAAUCAUAUCAUUGCUUCGACAUUAUUAUUGUACGUGAAAUUCUAUAUAGUUCUAUCAUUAACACAGCCAUCGUACUAGCUAGUUAUCUAAAGUUUUCUGUAUUAUAAUUUAUUAUGUACAAAAAAAUUUUGCCUUUGGAAAUAGUGUCUAUUGUAAACUAAGUAGUUGCUCCCUAACCUUGGAAUCCUUGUUCUGCCACUAAUUAAAAAAAAAAAAAAAAAAUUGGGGACUGGUGAGUAGCAAACCUUGAAGGGUCUCGAAUUAUAGAAAGCAUAAAGCAAUGAAUCGGCCAGAGUGCGGAAGUUACAGUUCAAUAGUUGUUGUAAAACCGCGGAAACCACAAUUUCUUAGUUUCGAAGAGGUCCAUACAUUUUAAGAAGAUGUAAACAGACAAAAUAGGUAAUAAUUUUAACACCAGAAGUAUCCAAUGUUUUAAAACUCGAUCCAUUAAUUGAAUCGGUGAGAUGUUUGAGUCAAGAUUUAACCGAUCGGACCUGUUCAACCCUGGUUCAAUGAAUAUCUUAAAAAAUAAUUUAUAUAAAUAUAUAUAUGCACAAAAUAAGACACGCAAUGGACUAAUUUAAAACUUUAUAUGAUAAAAAGUUUAAUAUUUUCAAAGAAUUUGAAUUUUCAACAAUAAAUUUUUUAAAUUAUAAGUUGAAACAAAUAAAUUUCAUCUCAAUUUCAAUUAUAUCUAUUUAAAAAUAAUCUUAAAUCCAACCCAAAAAUAUCACAAUAUUUUGAAAUUAUACAAAAUUCACGUCUAUGGGAAUUAGACAUUGUGAGUUUAAAUUGUAAUUUAUAUUUUUUAAAUUUAGAAAUUGCAACUUAAAAAAAAAAAGAAGUUUGGAGGAAGUCAGGAGAAUCGAAAAUAGAGAUGCAAAUUUGAUAGAAGCAAAAAAAGAGAUGAAAAUGGGCAGUUGUGGCAUUUAAUAAUUAGUCUUUAGAGUUAAAGAAAAAUAAUUAUUUUUUUAAUUUUUUUUCAAUUUAAUAGACAAAAACAAAAUUAAAAGAUGGAAGAAAACAUCAAUAAAUUAAAACUCAAGAGGUUUGAUUAAAAAGGGAGUAACAAAAGAAAAGGGCAGAGAAAGAACUUUGAAGAUUAGAGAAAAAGAAUCAUGAGAGGAUGAGAUUUUGUAAAGAAAACGGAGGAAAGAAAGAUGGAGAUUUGUUUUAUAUAAAUGUAGUAUAAAAAAAUUAACUAGAUGUGAUGGUGCAAUAGUUAUUGCGUUGGUCUUUUAUAGCCAAGGUCUCGAGUACAAUUCUUGCUUAGCUGCAUUUUGCAAAACUUAAAAAAAUUAUUGAGGGAAAAAUUGAAAAUCGAGAAUCACCGGUUCGACCAGAUUUACCGAUUUGACCGAUCUUGACCGAUUAUUUGACAAUUUCAACUGUAGCGUAAAAUCGGAUCGAUAUCAUGGCCAAUUUCAACUAUAGUAUAGAAUCGGCUGGUAUCAUGGCUUUUCUCUUUCACUGAAAUUUGGGCCCAAAAAUUUGUUAUUUUUUUAUAUGUUAUUGUGUUAAUGCGUACAUUUGUUAUAAUAGUGUCUACAUCUCAUAAAAUGUGUUUGCGGUGUGCCUCACACAGAAUCCUGAUCUGUCUGGACCAUGCCUAGAUGUACGUCUUUUCUAACAAUUGGAAGUACACAUGUAAAACCCCCCGGAAGCUAAUCCCUACAUAAAAUCGGACCAGGCAACACUAUAUUAUGCACGCCUAGGAUACUUUAUCUGUGUAAAUUAUAAACCAUUUUUAGAGAGUAGAUGAGUCAUGACAGGAGAAUAAAGAAUUGGAGGGGGAAGGGUGCCAAUCAUUGUACAUCAUGAACGAUCUUAAAUCCUUAUCGGUUGUUUGAAAUUUUAUUUUCUUUCUAAAAGGCCAAAUUUCUGGAUGGGCCACAAUGCUUAUAAAUUUCAGGCAAUUAUUACCAAGUAAUAACUAAAGUCUGCUCUUUUGGCAAGGUUAGCACAUUCUUUAAACUAUGCAUUAGUUUUUCUUCCACCAUCUAUAUGAUUUAAUAGUAAUUUUUUAAAUGUAAUCGAUUUGUAUUGAUCCCAGCCGUAUGGGUCGAGUUUACCCCCAAAUAAUAGUUAAAAACAAAAAAUAAACAAAAGAUAGCAAAUUCUUAACUUCUUUUAUUUUGCCCUAUAUUUGUAAAUUUCUUAAAGUUCCUUUCACCAUUUGCAAUGUCAUCUUAUACUUUCUAGAUUGUUUCGCAUUUACAUUGUCCUUGUAAAGAAAUGAAAUUCUUGCUAUCAGGCCAACUUCUCGAAAUGCAGUUCGAGAUAACCGUAAUCGUCUACAUGAUUAAGUCUUGGAUACUGUCAUUUCGAUCCAAAAAUUGAGCAAAUCACUAGGGCAAAGGAAGAAUUUCAAAAGACUAUGAAAUUAAUGUCAAUUUUGCAACUGUUGAUUAUUCGUUACCCAAUCAUGGGGGGCUGGUUAGUGACCAACCGUGAUGGGGUCUCUAGUUACAAAUUGUAAAGCCAGGAAUCAGCCAGAGUGUAGAUUGCAUAAUGAAAUAGUUGGUGUAACCCACAAAUCCUCUGUUUCAAUGCUGUGCAAAAGGAUUAAGAAGCUGUAAAGAGACAAAACAGGCCAAAUAGCCUAAUAUUUUUAACAACAGAAGCACCAUAACCACCAUGCAAACAGUCUGGAUCCUGCCUGGACGUACAUGUUUUUUAAGACAUAUGUCUUUGCCUGUACCUCCACCUAAAACACCUACUUCUUUUGCAUGGAUAUGAAUAAUUUGCACCAUCAUGAGAUGGCUGAUCAGCCAUCCAAAGAUACAACUAUAAAUACUUGCAUAAACCCUCCCUAAUUCUUCACCUCCUUCAACCUUUAAGCUUGUUUUGAUUUGUUUUCAAAUUUUGCUUCUUUCAUUUCCACCUUUUAUAGUUAAGCCUCUAAUUUGGAAGCACAAUGAAGCUUUAUGUUGUUAGUUUGCUACUGGUGACACUACUUUUGAGCUCCUCACUUUUCGAAAUUGCAAUGGCAAAUACAAGUAAGAUACUUUUUUCCCACUAGUAGCGACAUCACUUAAUGCUAAUGUAGUAGCUUUUAUGCAAAUAUUUUUAUUAUUGUUUUUGGAAUCUUAAUGUUAGUGUAGAGCUAAAGAAUAAGGACCUUUCUUGAUUUGGGAAUACCCUUUAGUCAUUGAAUAGCACAUGACAAUUCUUAAGCAUCUAUUCAUGGCUCAAGAACUUGCUCAAUUUCUUUUCCACCCAACUCUUUCAUGGUUAUUUAUAUUUCAAAAACAAAAAAAAAAAAGUCAGUUUUUUUCUUUGGAGAAAUGAGAAGUAUAAGAGUUAAUCUUAUAUACGCAAAAUAGUGUAUAUAUUAUCACGACCGGAUAUAAUAUAUAUAUAUAUAUAAUUCAGAUUUUCAAUUUAAAUUUAGAGUAGGUAUCAUAUAUUAAUGGUGAUAUAUUAAUCCAAAACAUAAUAGGGAAGAAAAUGAAAAAAAAAAAAAAAAGAGAAUAGAGUAUUGAGAUUGGAACCCUCGUCAACAACUAUAACAACGUUGACCACUUGGCAGUUUGUUUUUAAGAAGUUGUACGAUGUUGAUUUUGGUACAUUUCAUUCAAUUUUGACAUUUUCUUGUUCUGAUUUCAAUAUAUCAAAAGGUUUCUGCGACUCAAGGUGUGGGGUGAGAUGCUCCAAAGCAGGCUUGAUGAAGCGUUGCCUGAAGUAUUGUGGAAUCUGCUGUGCUGCAUGUAGUUGCGUUCCUUCUGGAACAUAUGGCAACAAAUCUGAAUGCCGAUGUUACAGAGACAAGCUCAACUCCAAAGGAAAACCCAAGUGCCCUUGAUUCUAAUACUCAAUGUUUAAACACUUUUUUUGCAGAUUUCAAAAUGUUUGUUUCUUCAUUCACUUUCCAUAAAGUUCUUGCCUAUUUCAUUCAUGCAGAAAAGUGUGUAAUAAAUAAGAGAUAUCCAAUCGGAUAUCUCUGUAGAUGUAAUAUUUUACGUUUGCUCUCAACAAUAUUGUUUAGAAUUUUUCUCUAAUUUCCUGUGAAAUGGAUCAUACCAACUUAGUUUCAUAAUCAACACCAGUAAGCCUUAAUCUAGCUAGAAAAGAAAACUAUAUCUUUAAAUUUCAAAUGUUAAAAGAUCUCACAAUAUUUCUAUCAGUAACAUGAAAAGAAUUUUUAACCAGAGAUGGAAAAAUUGUACCCAAUUGAUCAAGUGAUUUUAAAUGUCUAGCAUAAUUUUGGAUUGAAAGGAUUUUUUCAUGUGUAAUGGAAUCUCGACUGAAUUGUUUUCACCAUGACUAAUAACAUGCAUAGAAAGUUAGAAACCUAGCUAAAGAACAACGUGCAUCAUUGGUUUAUGAGAAAGAAGGGAAUUCUCGAUUUAAGUAUUUAAAAUCUAUACUUCCUAAAAGAGGUAUGUGCUAAUUAACUAUGAAAAUCAAAUGUCACUUUUUUCUUGGGAAGGUAAUGGAUUGCCCACUUUGAAAAGGUUUGGAAGUAUUGUGCUACACAAUUCUGUUUUUAAUAAAAAGAAAUAUAAAAACAUUUUCUUUUUUUUUUUUACUGUGGGUAGUUAGUACAAAAUGUUUUGUGUGUGUAAAUAUUGGGGGUCUACAUGUAUCGCAUUUUUAAGAUUUCGUCCUUGUAUAAAGAAACAGCUGAAAAAAUUUUUUAGGAUCUAAGAUAAUUUCCUAACAAGCUUUUUAAUUGCCCUUAAUAAGCUGCUAGCAUAAUUUUUUGACCUUCUUGUCAUCCCUCUUGAACUUCCAUUCAAUUGUUCUGGAUGGAUAUUAAUCACAAGUUCUUGAUUAGAAGGAAUCUGGUAAACAGAACUCAGAUAAAAGAAUGGGCUUUCUAUUGUUCUUAUGAAUAUUUCAGUGGUAUUUCAAUUUUAUAAGAUAUGACAUCAAAGCAACAUUUAGUAUUAAGACAUGCCUUUGCCACUUGUUUUAGUGGUAAAAUUUAAACGAAUUCACCAAUAUUAGAAUUAUACGUACAUAGUAAGAAGAAAUAUCACAAUCCAAAUGUAUAAUUUUUUUUUAUGUAACCACUUGUUCAUCAAGGUGUACGUUGCUAUUCAUUAAAGUGCAAGUUUCUAUUCACGAAAGUACACAUUAUCAGUGAGUGGGAAAAAAAAUUACUAUUAACAAAUGAAUGAAAUUGCUGCAUAGUAAUCCUUUCACUCGCACUCAACACAGGAUUAUUUCCCAAAUCUAACCCCUCUUCUUAAAUCUAACAAUUUUCUACAGAAUAUUUGUUAUGAUCUGUUCCAAUAACAUUACUGUUGUUAAGGGUAAAAAAUUGGAAGGUGGAAAAUAAGAAAGAAGAGAAAAGGCUACUAUGGUAAUGUAGCAUUCAGUGUGUUAUUUUUUUUUUUUUUUUUUUCGACAAUGUGGGUAUUCAGAACCACCCGACUAAUUCCACAGCGCCCAGGCAGAGCGGGCUCGACCGAUACCUAGGACGGUAAACAACUGGGUUGCAGACUGGAAUCGAACCCAAACAGACUUGGAGUAAGGACCCCGCCUCCACCAUCCGAACAACCCAGCGCGGGCAGUGUGUUAUUUAUUUAACUAAGAAAAUAGUGUUGAAUUCCCUAUUCUGGAAUUUACUUACGCAAAGUUGAAUCCUACUUAUGGAUUUGGAUGAUUCCAUUUCUCUGAUUCUAAACUUUUCCAACAAGAAUUCACAGUAAAUUCGGUGGGUAAACUGCACUGUACAAUUCUAGCAAUGUACCGUUGCGAAAUCAUUUUCAUGUAGAGGAGGGCAUGAUGUCUUUGUGAAAACCUGACGGAUUGAUUCACGAGAAAAGAGUCUACUAAAAAAUUUGUUCUGGAGUUUCUAUCUUGAGUAAAAGAAAUUUCAGUCCACAAAUAUCACAAAAAUGUUCAACUCCAGUAUUAGUAACGGACAUCUACUGCUUUUUGAUCAAGUCAUAUUCCAAAUUCGAAGUGGCCUGAUUUUAUUCGAUAAAUGGUGUCACCUCCCACCAGAAUAUCUCUCAUCCAGAGUGUUAAUACAAACCUAACAGCAAAGGUAGUUGCUUGACAAACCACUAUAGGAGGAACCAGAAAAUUUCUUUUGAGGGAGCAAACUCUAAUUCAACUAAAACUCAAGCAUAUAACUUAAAAUAUUUUUAAUUUUUUGUGAGGGCAAAUUUACACAAAUUUUUUUAAACAUUUCAACUUUUCAAGGGAGAAAAACUUAAUUUUCCAAAACUUUGCAGGGGAGGGGACCUCUCCGCCACCCUAGUUCUGCCAAUGACAACCGCCGAGGCAUCAGAAACCUCCUUGCCUAAGCUCUAUGAGCUCCUCCAUACCGCGAGGGGACUGCGAGAAGAGUUUUAUAUAGGUAAAGAUUUCAUACUUCCGCUUGAUCAAGGGCCUGCAAUUUCCAUCUGGUCUACUUUUGCUUCAAAGAUGCUUUGGUUGCAAGAAAUGUUUGGAAAAAUGGAAAUUUUUGAGGGUUGAAACAAGAGAUUUGGCCGCGUAUUUACCUGUAGUUCCACAGAUGAAAAAGUCCAAUGGAUGAAUUUUAGCCUUCAGACAAAUAUGUAUGAAUAAGUGCUGCAAUAAACCAAUAAUUGGCUUAGGCAGUUGAGAUUAGUAGUAGUUAUGGCAUUUCAUGUUCUAGCGUAAAGUUUCAGAUGACAAGCGAUGACAACCAUGGUCUAGUCAGGAAAACAAUGAUUUCACUUAACAUAGAAGUUCUAAUACAGUAUCAAAAAUCCGAGUUAAUUGGCUCUGCAAAGGGGAUACAAUGAGUUAAUUGGCUCUACAAAGGGUAUACAAUGGAAUUGGCACAAAAAUGGUUUCCAAGCACAAAGAGUCAUAAAAGGAUCGUCAUGAAUACAUCAAAAUAAGCAUGUGGAGCAUAAAAAAUGCAUGCUGCUCUUAGUCCUCAAUUUGUUCCAGGAAAGCUUAAGCUGAAAAACAUGCACAAAUAAAAGCCUGACGAAUGGUUCAACAACUCUCGUAACUCUCAAAUUUAAUCUACAAAAGCUCUACUGUUCCUGUGAUUGAUACACCGACUAUACCCAGUUUUAUUCCCCGACAGGCCUUUGACCCACUCCAGUGUAGAAGCCCAACAGAUUCGGCACGUUAUUUGAGAUCCCUGUAGAUUAGCCCAACCGCAUGGAGAUCCAAAGCCGUAAUCAUACAACAAUUGUUCUCGAAGAACAAUGAUACAUGCUAUAACAGAUACAUCAGCCUCCAGAUACUUAGCCCAGCAAAUCUCUGAACAAGUUGGGAUUCUGACCUGUUGGUGUUACACCUAGUUGCCUGACCAGCGCAUCCUUCUCCAGUGAUUCUUUAGCAUUAGGUCCCUUGUUUAAUUGCUGAGUUGGGUUUGUAACCGUAUUUUCUCCAUGACCAUUUCUGUUAGGUGUACCUGCAAGUCCAGAAAGGAGAUUGGCCUCAUCUCUACCGGCAGGAAGUAGGUUUGGAACACCACCACUUUGCACAUUCAGGGUUGUUUCCCCAUAUAAAGACAUAACAUCUGGUGCUCCGCUAGCACUAGCAUCACUAGUAGUCAAAGUGGAAGUGUCUUGGUUUAGGUCAAGGAGACCUUCCAAUUGCUUGAAAGGAUCCACAGAUUGUGCACUACUAGAAACAGCGGAUUCAUCCAAAUCAAGCAAGUCUGGAGGCGGCUGGGGAGUUCUCUCUAACACAGCAGUGUCUGAAGUUGCAUUCUUAGCCACAUGAGAUUUUUCUGCAGCAGGAAUGUUAGUCUUUGGAACCUUCUGGCUGCCAGAAGAUUGUCUUUUGUGGGACUUUGAUGUACCACCAAAAAGUGAAGCAGCAAGUUUUUGCUUUUCAGCAGAUAUUUCUACUUGCUGCCUCCUUGAAUCAUAAGACACAGCUUUUGAGCUUGAACUACUAACCGCAUCAAGCUGAGGAGCUCCAUUUUGAAUCUUAGGGAUAUCAGCAUUUGAAGUAGACGGUGCAGCAGAAGAGUAAGUUGGCCUACCCCACUUCCUUUGGACCCCAUCAAGUUUUAGCUUUAGUUCUAAUGACCCAGGGUCAGAUACAGAUGGCACAGACGAAGCAACCUGGUGCAUCUCUGCAUGAUAAGAUGGCUCAGGUGCAGGUACAAGUUCAUUUGAUGAUGAUUGCUCAAUUGGAGAAACUCUGGAUGGCAUCACUGGUUUAGGAAGCUCAUAUGCCUCAAACCUAAGGGCAUGUGAUGAGACCUCAUGCAGUUCUUGGCUUCUGAAACUGCUGACAUCUGUCAUUCCAGACCGUUCACUUUCAGGAAUAUAAGGCUGGGCCCCCUUUUCUAUUGACUGCUGAACAUAACCGUUGAGAAAUGAAAGGCUUCUAUCAAUCUGCACAAGAAUUCAUGGGUGUUUAAAGUUGCAAAGAGCACUGCCAAGCUGAGCAGCAACAACUAGCUAUGUAUUCUCUACAAAAUCUGAUACCUCGAUGUCUUCACAACUUGCAUCCAUUGGCAUGAUGUUGGUAGCCACAUUAGCAUCUAAACCAAGGAUUGCUUGAAGUUCAUAAGCACGCUGCUGGAGGUCCGUUGAGUGGGAUGCUAGUAGUUCUUCAAUGAAGGACUGGCACUGCAGUAAGCAAAGAAAUUCACCAGUCAGGCCAUAAAGAAUCAUCGCCUAAACCAAACAAUGAUGCGGCCACAUCAAAGCAGCUUGCUCUGUCAGUGACAGGGUAGGUCUAUCAAUCUGAAGUUUGAACCAAAAACAAAUCCCAAGAUACCAAGAUGAGGAUGGACAAAAGUCUCAUUUACUGCAAUCACUACAUAUAAAUACUGAUUUUCAUCUAGAAUCCUGAUGACCUACUGCAGUUCAAAUGUUGGAAUGCGGUAUUGCCAGCUAAUCAUUUCUCAAGACAUACAGAUUGAUGGCUAAAAUUUGUUCUUAAUCUCGCCAUCAUUCAUUUGGCUCAGAGAGAGAGAGAGAGAGAGAGAGAGGUGGAGAGAAGAGGCUGAAUACUACAUAAAGCUCAUACAUAUUAUAGUGCAGCAUAGGAUAUAGUUAUGUUUAAGCAAAAGGAAGAGAAUUUGUCUCAGUUUACCCACCUCAGGAAGCACGUCCACUUUUCUCCCAGCUGCUAUUUCGAAUGAGUAUAUUUUCAUCAAUGCGGAUAUUGCAUAUGCCUACACAGUAAAGGAAAACAUCAAAACUCUAUGGAUAGGAAUCAACUAAACUUCAGAUGUCUGAAUGAAUAAUCUCCAUGAUCAGAACAUCUAGAAAGCCUAACUUUUACGGGCAUAUAACUGCAGUAUACAUGAUCCACAGACUAUGCAUUCAUAAUGCAAGAAUAGGUCAAGCAUGUGUGUGUUCCAUUUGUGGAAAUCAAGCAGGUCAAGUUCAACUUAAAAAAGUGCACAUCUAGUAUCUUCAUCUCUGCUUUAUGAAUCUUUACUCGUCUUUGAAUACAGGCAGAAGCUUUAAUCAAGAUCUUUAAUGGAUGGUUUUCAAGGAUAUUAUAGUGGAAUACUACAUUCUUAGAGCUUUCAAAAGUGUGUUCAUCAGCCAGUAAUCGGUAAUUCACUUUCCUUUUUUUCUUUUUUCCUUUAAUUUGGGGUGCAAGGCCAACAUCCAAUUACCAAACCUUUAUUUUGGUAAAUUGGAGACCAAUAAUUGGAUUUCAGUAAAUAAGUAAAACUCCAGAAUAUCUGCAAUUUUCUAAAGAACAGUUAGCAUUUAGUAAAGUUAUUCAGUCCCUUAAUAGUUUACUAGCACCUGAUAUUCAGUAGUUAUUACUUAGUAAUUUGUAUAUGUAUUAAUAUAUACAAGUAUAUAAUACAAAUCUGAAAUUCAACCGGUUAACGGGAAUUCAUGCAUCUAACUUUAGUUUCCACGCCCAAACUGUUUUACCAAAUAUUAGAGACUGGAUCUAUUUUGAUUUUACCAGAUUCCAAUUUAUUGAAAUCCGAAGUACAAACAAAAUUCGUUCAACCAGUUUUUCAGUUUUUUCCAAAUUAUAAACAGCCAAUUGAUUGUUAAAUUCUAUUUCAAUUUUGAACAAGCAACCACUCCAACCACCUGUUGGGAAUUUGUUGACAAAUCCUUCUUUGCACAAUAUCCAGUAAAAAUAUCAACCAACCUAUAUCUAAGGAACACUUCAAUCCAAGAAAUCCCUAUGACAGUCUUAUAUGAUACUUUGACAUCAGAGUCUCUGUGUUUAUGUGUUUUUGAUGAAGCAGAGGGAAAACCAGGUUCACUUGUCAAGCUCAUCAGUCUAUGCGUGUAUACAUUUUUUAUGUAUAGGCAAACCUAUUAAACUCUCAAGCAGGAUAACUUAGGCCACAAAUCAGCUCAAAAGCAUGUACCAUAAUCAAUCAAACAAUAGCAGGCUCCCACCAACCCCCCCCCCCCCAAAAAAAAAAAUCACUCCAAAUAGAAAUACACCAACAUGGACAGAUAAGACAAAUGUAACUUGUCCAACUACUCGAGACCCAAACAGUCAGUAAAGAAGGUAAAAGUGGUUUAUACCUUGACGGUGUCAUCAGUUGAGUAUGCCUCAGCCACAUCACAUAAUUUACCAGUUAUAUAGGAGGCAGAAUACUUUCCAUCUGCAGUUCCAUAUUCUCCCAAAACCCAACAAAUGACCUGUAACAUGGACCUCAGGAGAUGAAAAGCAGAAAGAAAUUUGCAUGCUGGUCACUGCAAGAUGCAUAAAACAAGAAGAAAGUCAAACUAAAAUAUUGGAAAACUUACUUGGAGAAAUGUUGAAGGAAGCUUUGGCUCCACAACAAUGCGAAGAUAUGAUUCUACCUGCAGUCCAAGAAAAAGCUGACUCAUUUUUCAUUUAAAGAAAAAGUGUAAUAUCAUAAGUGCUGACUAAAACAUCGUUCUCUAUUUCAGACAAAAUUAGUAAAUUAAGCAUAAAAGCUCAGCCGAGAGUCAAAAGAAACAAUUCCUGAACAUUGACCUUGAAUUACAAAUUCAUCCAGCGAUCAGCAAUGCAGCGUAAUAUUAUAAAUAAAGAUAAAAAUAAUUCAAUGCAUAAAGUUACAAAACAAUAGCAGAGAUAGAGAUCCACACCAUAGGGAUCCUCAGAUAAAUAUGCACAAGAUCCCCAGAGAUAGUCCAAGAACAUCUCCUGUUAAUGAAUGAGCCUUACUAACACACAACAGACUACCAAAAAACAAAGCACCAAAGAGAUUUUAGGAAACAUUUAGCACUCCAUUAGUGCCUAGCAUGAAGAACAGCAAACUAUGUCGAGGAAAAACAUAUUAAAUAAGGACUGCAGUCACAGAGAUAUAUUUCAUUGCCUCUAUUCUUAAGAGUAAUUAACAAACACCAUAUCCUGUAUAGAAAAUUCUAUUUAAUAAUAAAACCAAGUUACAAACUCCACAAAUUAUCAGAGAAAAGUCUAAAAAUAAGUGCAGACACAGAAUAUUUUUUUUUUUGAGUAACACGCAAAGAAAACAAAACAGACUUAAUCAGACAGGAAUAUUUUCAAUGCCUCUAUCCAGUUUGCAAAGGCAAGAUGGUUUUUAGCAGGCAUCACGGGCAUAAUUUAAGCUAAGCUUGUGACUGCCAAUUAUAUUCACCUUAUUUCUUAUUUCAUGUGUUGUGUUGACUAGUCAACUUAUUCAGAUAUUCAUCAUUCUUUGGGUAACUUUUGUGGGCAAGCCAAAAUUUCCUUAGGUAAUACUUUCUGUAAUUAAUAUAUAAUGCCAUUCGAAGUAGAAAGGCUAACAAUUCAGAAAUUAGAGAGAACUCUUAAGUAUAGAACCUAUAAAGAGCAUUAUGAAUUAGCAAGCAACACUAAUGUAAAAUCUUCUCUUCAGAAAAUUUUGAGACAGUAUUGGAAACCUCAAUUAGGACUUUUCCCACUCUUAGGCAUACAAGAAAAAUGAUUUUAAAUGGAGAUAGAAAUAAGAAAUCACCCUAAUUACAAUUCAAUUGGUCGCUGCUAGAAUGGCCAAUUCAAACUGAUUCAUCUAUCAAAUCUUUAAGAUCUCGCAAUGGCAGGAAAAAUAUUGCACCAAGUGUAAUUGCCCAUCCAACUAAGGUAUAGAGGAAAAGACCAAACAAAAAGUGUGAACACUUCCAGAUGCAAAUGUACGGACUGAUAAGAUCUUCCAAUCUGCACACAUGGUUCACAACUAUGCAUCACUUGAUAAUAGAACAACCCUUUCCCUGCCGCCCCCACAGCAUCUUAGUUAAUGAUGUCAACAUAACUUAUUUUAUCUGCAAGCAUACAGUUGUCCAGUCCAUGUGCCAUCUAUACAGAGUCCAGAAAAUAGUUCAAGACAAGUACAUGCAUUCACAAAACUAACAAAAUACACCAUGUUCAGUUCCCCAUCAUGAUUCUGUUCACUUCCAAAUAAUAAGCCAGCACAAACUUACUUGUCCAAAUUCAGUAAACAUCCAAAUUCAUAUGGAAAGAACAUCAAGCAACACAUAGUUCCAAAAUAGCAAGGUAAUCUCAAAAGCAGGAUUCAGCAAAAUUAUCUUUGCCGAGGAGCACUUACUGCGGAGGAUCUCAACUGACUAUCUGCAGUAUCAUCUUCCUCACCGAAACCCUCAGCAAUCAAGCGCAUCAAAUUAUGAGCCACUUUAGGGUUUACUAGAUCACCAGCAUGUUCAAAGACUCUAUUCAUUGUCUGAAAGGUAAGAACACCAAGAUAAGCACAGAAUUCGAAAAGUUGUAUAUUUCUAUUGCAAAAUCAAACUCCAGAAAAUGGGAAAGUAAGGAUCGAAUUUACCUGGAUAAACCACUGGUUGCUUGGUGCAAAUUGCUCAGCAAGUUCAACGCAUCUGGAUGCAAUUUCAGUCUUAUAAUGGCUAUCAUUGAUGUUUAUCAUGUAAUCAAUCAUACGGUCCACAAUCACUUCCACAUUUGAAGAUUUUGUCAUUUUAUAUAGCAGCUCAAACGUCUUCCGCUUAAGGGUAUCAUCAGGGUCCUGUAUAACGACGACAUCACAGUUUAAAAUGAUGACAAAUGAUAUGUCAUAAAAAAUUAAUUAAGCAAUACAACUCGAUUGUGCAGCAGAGUUUGGCCACUCCCUCUCAAAAGAAGGGGGGAGGGAGAAAAGCAUUUAAAGAGUGACAAAAUUCUAGUUAUAUCCAUUCAGAAAGUAAAAGAAACUAAACUAAUAUGAAAUUCUUAAAAUGAGCAUUUACCAGAGCAUAUGAUAGGCUCGUUCUCAGUUGAUUAUUUUAGUUGCUAAUAGAUUUUGAUUAUGAUUAAUCAGUUUUGAGAUGUUCUCAUUUCUUUUGUAUUCAGAUUAUAGCUUUUUUAAUAACCAGAAAAGCUAAAAUCCAUAAUCACCCAAAAGGGUAGCUUUUAAUGAUUCUGAUUAUUCUCUAUAAUCACUUUCCAUAAUUGCAUCUUGUAAAAUCUAAACCAAACGAGAACAAGGCUGAUAUCUUAUUCUAAAUUAAGUGUAAUCUAGAGAAGCGUAACUUUUAUAUCACGCAGGUAGAGGGCAAAAAAAGUUCUUCAAGGCAGCAGCAAAAAUCUCAAUCUCAUUCAAGAUGAUGACCUCAUAGCCUUCAAAUUUGACUUCAAAAUUGCUAGCUACUUCAACUAUGUCUACCUCAGUAAGAGAGUUACACUGGAUGAAGGCAGCAAAGUCCGUUGCCACAUCAUACAAAGAAAACUGCAGGUAUGAAACAUGAACCUAAUUUGGAGCUCAAACAUUGCUUUGAUAUUGAGUUUUGUGUUCUCUUGCAUUCUAGGUUUUGGUUCAACAUUCUAAUUCUAAUUCAUUCAGCAGAGAGGGAUUUUUAAGGAAAAUAUGCUUUCUUUACCUUUCAUAAUUCACGAUUUAAAAAGAAUUUCAUCUUCCAGAUAUGCAUUUCCGGUCUUCCUAAAAGAAAAUAUUGACGUGGAAAAAACACUCAAAGGAUCCUGAACAAUGUUGAAGUACACAAAUAGGUAGAUGUUAUUUCAAGAUGAAAGGGUCCAUGUGCUUUAUUUUUUGAAUUGUUUAUUUGGUGGAUUGGUUAUGACCAAGGGGUAAAAGCUGUGAAACAUAGCUGAAAAUACAAAGAUACCAGCAUUGCCAGAUUGCUUAAUAGCAAAAACCUGAUGUUCAAAAGGCCAAACCUCAUCCAAAGUAUGUUUUCCAGCACAUAAUAGGUAACAAAUACACAUGGAAAACGGCUCAUUGCACAAUUCCAGAAGGGCUUAUUAAACACAAUGAACUAGAGUGUUGUUGAACCAAAAAAUAAGAACUAUUUGCUAUCAGACUAUACUUAGAUAGCAUCAUAGGUGAAGAUCGGUGCAACAAAGCAAAUCAUUCUUUUCUAACUUUGCAAUAAAGAAGAGAAAAGAUCACUUGGAUGAUAUGGCAUGUAAGCUAAAACAAUCAAUCUGCUACAGUUGCUGUCGAACACAAAUUUCUGAAUGACCAAUAGCUAUAUAGAAGAGGCAGAAAGCCUACCAUUUUAUUAGCAAAAAAAAAUACUCUAUUUGAAGCUCAAUCAACAAGAAGGCAAAAAGAUUACAACCUCCAUUAUAUCUUCAUUCACCAGAAAUAGAUGAAAGAACAACUUUAGCUACUGAUUUUUCCCCCAUAAUUGCGCAGAAAGAAAAUAAGAUGGGGAUUCCCUAUAAGUGAACAAUGAUUCAAGUUCAUAUGUAUAUGAUUCCAGACAUCAGAACCACUAUACGAAAUUCAUUAAUAACUGGCUACUUCAUAGACUACUUAGUUGAAGAUCAUCCUAAAACGUGAAAUAGACACUAUUAUCCAAGCAUCCAUGCUAUGAAAUCCAUACACAUCAUGAAUCAGCAAAGAAAAAAAAUUGGGACAAUAUUAGUCUGCACGUCCCAGUUUCAGUUCCCAGAGUAUAGAGUACCAGGAAACACUUCC